ACCCUUCAAUGUCAUUUUGGGGCGCACAUGGCUCCACUACAUGAAAGCUAUCCCCUCUACAUACCAUCAAAUGGUGAGUUUUCUCACCAACGAUGGCCAAGUCGACCUAUAUGGCAGCCAAUUAGCCGCUCGCCAGUGCUAUCAGAUAGCACGUGAAGCAGGGGCCAACCAGGAGGAUGCAUCUCCCCCUGAACCCAGCAUUGCACAUGACCAAUAGCAAUUAUUGGGUCCGACGGACAAAGAUCCCCCGGCAGCAGAUCCCUUACAAACAAUCCAAAUUUCAGAGGAAAACACUCACCUCACGAACAUCAGUUCCCUCAUGACACGAGAAGAAACGCAGAGCAUGCAAAAUAUUCUCAAACAGAACCAUGACAUCUUCGCAUGGGCACAUUCUGACAUGAAGGGAAUUCAUCCCUCCAUUGCAUCUCACAGGCUUAACGUCUUUUUAACUGCCAGACCCGUCCGGCAGAGGAUUAGGCGAUUUCACCCGGAUAGACAAAGAGUCAUCCGGAAUGAGAAUGACAAAUUACUCGAAGCCGGAUUCAUCAGAGAAGUUUCUUAUCCGGAUUGGUUGGCAAACGUAGUAGUGGUACCCAAAAAAGAAGGAAAAUGGCGAGUUUGUGUAGACUAUACCAAUCUCAACAAUGCGUGUCCAAAAGACAGUUUUCCCUUGCCUUGAAUAGAUCAGAUUGUGGAUUCCACCUCCGGGCAAGGAAUGCUCUCUUUCUUGGAUGCCUUCUCCGGAUAUCAUCAAAUCCCCAUGUCCCCGGAUGACGAAGAAAAGACAGCAUUCAUAACGCCACACGGCCUCUAUUGCUACAAAGUCAUGCCAUUUGGACUCAAAAAUACUGGCGCCACUUAUCAAAGAUUGAUGACUAAAAUCUUCAAACCUCUGAUAGGCCACUCGGUAGAGGUAUAUAUUGACGAUAUCGUGGUUAAAAGCAAAACUCGAGAACAGCAUAUCCUUCACUUACAAGAAGUUUUUCACCUCUUGCGAAAGUAUGGCAUGAAGCUAAAUCCUUCCAAAUGCUCCUUUGGCGUGAAUGCUGGCAAAUUCCUGGGAUUUAUGGUCAGCUAAAGAGGCAUAGAAGUCAGCCCGGAUCAAGUCAAAGCAGUCAUGGAAACACCCCCUCCCAGGAACAAGAAGGAGUUACAAUGCCUCACAGGCAAGCUCGUUGCGUUAAGGCGUUUCAUAGCCCGCUUCAUUGAUGAGUUGCGACCCUUCUUCUUGGCAAUACGAAAAGCUGGAGCACACGGAUGGACGGACAGUUGCCAAAACGCUUUGGAAAGGAUUAAGCAUUGUCUUAUACAACCACCCAUCUUGAGCAGCCUCAUCCCAAAGGAGAAAUUGUACAUGUAUUUGGCAGUAUUAGAAUGGGCAAUCAGCGCCGUUCUAUUCCGCUGCCCCUCACCCAAGGAGCAGAAACCUAUCUACUAUGUCAGCAGGGCAUUGGCAGACAUAGAAACCAGAUAUUCAAAAAUGGAACUAACAGUCUUAGCCCUUCGGAGCGCUACCCAAAAGCUCCGGCCCUAUUUCCAAGCCCACCCGGUGAUCGUGUUAACCGAUCAACCCCUUCGCAACAUUCUGCACAAACCAGAUUUAACCGGGAGAAUGCUGCAAUGGGCCAUUGAGUUAAGCGAAUUUGGAAUCGAAUUCCAACCUAGAUUGGCCAUGAAAGGCCAAGUAAUGGCUGACUUCGUGCUAGAAUAUUCCCGAAGACCCAGCCAACAUGACGAAUCAAGUAAAAAAGAAUGGUGGACUCUGCGAGUUGACAGAGCCUCACGCUCAUCAGGCUCUGGAGUCGGGCUCCUAUUACAGUUCCCAACUGGGGAACAUUUGGAACAAGCCAUCCGGCUGGGAUUUUCUGCCUCUAACAACGAAGCAGAAUAUGAAGCCAUCUUGUCCGGAUUGGACCUCGCCCUCGCUCUAUCCGUCUCCAAACUCCGGAUCUACAGUGACUCACAACUCGUGGUAAAGCAUGUCCAGGAGGAAUAUGAGGCUAAAGACGCACGCAUGGCGCGAUACUUAGCUAAAGUAAGAGACACCUUGCAGCAAUUCACCGAAUGGGCAAUCGAAAAAAUCAGGCGAGCUGACAACAGGCUCGCUGACGCCUUGGCCGGCAUAGCUGCCUCCCUCCCCAUCAAAGAAGCCAUUCUAUUGCCCAUACAUGUGCAACCCAACCCCUCUGUCGCAGAAAUUUCCACCUGCAAUACCAUUGAGACAAACCAGGCGGAUGGCCAAGAAUGGACGUAUGACAUCACAGAGUAUAUCCGGACCGGCACCCUACCCGGAGAUCUCAAACGGGCACACAAAGUCCGGGUGCAAGCUGCCCGUUUCACCCUGAUUGGGGGGCACCUGUACAAGCGAUCCUUCACAGGACCUUACCUUCGAUGCCUAGGGCAGUCAGAGGCCCAGUAUGUGUUAGCUGAGUUACAUGAGGGAAUAUACGGAAAUCAUUCGGGAGGACGAUCUCUGGCACAUAGAGCUCAUUCGCAAGGAUACUAUUGGCCAACAAUGAAGAAAGACGCGGCAGCAUAUGUCAAAAGAUGUGAUAAAUGUCAAAGGUAUGCUCCCAUUCCACAUAUGUCAUCAACAACGUUAAAAUCAAUCUUAGGCCCAUGGCCCUUCGCACAAUGGGGCAUGGACAUAGUGAGACCUCUCCCAGCUGCACCUGCCCAAAAGAAAUUUUUGCUUGUUGCCACAGACUAUUUCAGUAAGUGGGUGGAAGCUGAAGCAUAUGCUAGCAUCAAAGACAAUGGUCCACAAUUUGAUAGCAUUGCAUUCAGGAAUUUCUGUUCGGAGCUAAACAUCCGGAACUCAUACUCCACACCACGAUAUCCUCAAAGCAAUGGGCAAGCAGAAGCCACAAACAAGACCCUAAUCACUGCCUUAAAGAAAAGGCUUGAGCAAGCCAAAGGAAAAUGGGUCAAGGAGCUGCCCGACGUCCUAUGGGCCUACCGAACUACACCCGGACGGCCAACAGGAAACACUCCUUUCGCUCUCGCAUAUGGAAUGGAUGCAGUCAUUCCUACCGAAAUAGGUUUCCCUACUAUCCGGACUGACGCAGCAAAACAGAGUGAUGCAAACAUAGAAUUAGGAAGAAAUUUGGAUUGGACGGAUGAAGUGAGGGAAAACGCGGCCAUCCGGAUGGCAGAUUAUCAACAAAGGGCAUUAGCACAUUACAAUCGCAAAGUGAGGCUAAGAAGCUUCAAAAAUGGUACGCUAGUCCUUAGAAAAGUUUUUGAAAAUACUACUAAAGUGGGUGUGAUUCAUGCCCAAUUGGUGUCUCAGCUGAUUCAUGUCCAGCUGGUGCUCCUUGGAUGAGGGAGUGAUCAACAAAAUUUAUACCUAUAACACCAUACACUAGGGUAGCAAAUAAAAAGCUACUAUAGUAUAGUGGCUCUAGGAUCGUUCACUGGGAAUGAUUAACAAGCAAUCAAGGAUACCAAUUCCAAGUGAAUUGGUCUUGUUUCAUUUCACGGUUAGCUUAAGAAAUAAAACACAAACUUUGAUUGGUAAAGGUUGAGACUUAAACUAACUAACUUAACAGAAGUUUGGAAUAAUUUAGGAAGAAAAGCAUUCCUUGGAGAUUUAGGUUCACUGGGGUGGUUCCUCAUGCAAAAGACACGGCUCUGGUCAGUUGGUUCAUUUCCUCGCAUUAGAGAUUCAACAUAUAGUUAAUUCUCUAACCGGUGAUGUACAGAGACUCCUUCAAUUAGAUUUCACUUUAAUUCUCUCACUGAUGCAACUUGCAAUGGUUCAUGCCUCUCACCAAGCCUCAACCAUUCAAGGUGAUCUUUAACCUUGGACUUCCUUUCACAAACUCACAAGAGAUAACUAAUGGAUGUCUCCUAAGAGUCCAAAAGCUUAUCAAGUGUUGGUUAUUCUAGAAAAUCCCACCUUGAAGUCACCUACCAAAGGCUCGCAAGGGGUAAACUAGUGCAUUUCCAUGGUUGGAAAUCACUUGCCUUACCAAGUGUUGGCCCAGGUGACUCUAAGGUGUUUUAAGUUAACUAAAAACAUUGAAAUCACUAAAGGAUUUCACUUCCUCUUCAUUACUAGCUAAAACCACAAAGCUUUGCAUUCUUGCACUUGGAACCUUCCCCGGCAACCUUAGCUCCAAGGAAUUGGAGGUUUAGUUACUCAUUCUCUGGGGAAAACUCCUCAGAGAAUUUAUAACUAAAAAAUAAAAUGAAAAUACAAAGUGAGAAGGUAAGGCAGUAGAAAGAAAAGACCUUUACUUGCUUACCAAAUGGUUACAGAAAAAACUCCUCCUUGAGAACAUGCUCCCGAGAGGUAUUUAUAUCAAAACAAAAUAAAACUAAUUCUUACAAAGAUAUUUAGUCUUUUUACUAACUUAAAAACUAAGGAAUCAUGUAAUUGGUCGUUUACAAGGAGUAUUUUGGGAUUUAGACAACAAAAAUCUAAUGGAAAAUAUCUCCCAAUGUCGGUAGCAAGCUUCGGGAGGCUUCAGGAGCCAUUUUGCAGGAGAAAAGUGGUGUCUGCGAAAUUGGUAGCAAGCUUCGGGAGGCUUCAGGAGCCAUUUUGCAGGAGAAAAGUGGUGUCUGCGAAAUUUCGCAGACACCCAAGAGGGCUGCGAAAUAUUUUUGCAAUAGCAAGCUAUCUUCACCAGGCUGCAAAGUUGGCUUCCAUCUUGAGGUUCCUAGCUUCCCUCUUGCGGCAUAAAUCAGGCAUCGUCAGAAGGAGAAACACUCUACUGUACAAAAAUGCUGCGAAAUCACUUCGCAACAAAAGGGUGAUUUCGCAACACUCUCCAAAAUGUUCUCUUCAGCUCGGAGUGAUUGGCUUGUAAUGGCUGCAACUUCUUCGUUUCAACUUCGAAUUGCACACCGUUUGAAGCAUUGGAUUGUUGACUUCCUGAGCUUUGAAAUGGUAUAUAGCAUGCAUCAUUUGGACUUCAGAAAGUGCCCCAAAAGUGGCUGCUACAACUGUCAUCAAGAACAUGCUUUAUGGCAGAUUCUCUUUGCUUUUUCUCCUUGCAAUCCGGAUUCACUCUUCUAAGCUUUGCCCAAGAUUCCUCAUAGCUCUCCUCAUUAUUGACUUGCUUUGGUGAUCAAAAUACUAACAAAAACACCAAAACUUACACAAAGUGAUCAAAAUUGCUUUAAAGGAUCCUUAACAUGCCAAUUGAGUUAAAAGGCCUAAACUACUACUCAAAAGUGGUUAAAAGGAUUGAUUAUAGGCUAAUCAAAUAGCACUUUUUGAGUAGUAAUCAGGGUGCAGGGAAAUUCCAAGCCAACUGGGAAGGACCCUAUAUAGUGUCUAAGGCAAGUGACAAUGGAGCCUAUCAUUUACAAAAGUUAGACGGAACUCCAUUACUUAGGCCAUAGAAUGUGUCUAAUUUAAAACAGUAUUAUCAAUGAAAAAGCAAAGACAAGUGCAAAUGGAAAAAUAACUGUUUUAUUGAUGUAUAUAAAUGUAUGUACAAAGAGGUCUCCGGACCAUAGAAAGUACAAAAAGAAGAUUACAGCAAAAAGUUGCAAAACGACAAAAGCUAUCAGGGAGCAGCCUUAAAGUUUCUUCUCUUCACCCGGAGGAAUUGAAGGGACAUCCCGCUUUAUGCCAUUCUUCUUCAUACAACAGCGAUAGCCGAAGAUGAAGGUGUCAUCCACUUGUUUUUGGUAGUCCACUUCAAGUUCCUCCCUUUCUACAGCAAACUCCCGCUCAAGCUCUUCUCUUUGCACGGAUAAGCGCAACUGCAAAUCUUCCUUCUGCUUCUUUUCAAUAGAAGCCUCUGUCCGGAGUUGCCUCACCUCUCCCCCUAUCCGGGCUAUCUCAUCCUCUGCCUCAUGCAGACGGGCAAUCGAUGAUUCCUCCCGGUCCUUAGCCUCAGCCAAUUCCACCCGAAGGGCUUCAUUGUCCUCUCGAGCGGUGGAUAAGCUGGCUUCAGCCUCCGCCAGUCUCAGGCGCAACUGAUCUUCAGCAUCUUUGCGCCGAAUGGCGAAGGCCUUCAUAUAAUCAGUGGUCCGCAGCAGGUCAGUGAAAAGAUCGUAUUGAUUGGCCAUGCCACGGAGACCACUCACCAGCUGCAGGCAAAUAGUCAAAACAAGAAAAGCAAAAUUAGAAAUCACACCGCAAACGCACAUCAGGAUGACAAAAAUCAAAGAAGCAUAAAAGCAGUUUACCGUUUCCACCAUCUCGAACAUCUGGGCUGAAGUCAUGACAGUGGGCAAGCCAGGUGGAAUCUGUUUCAGCUUCUCUUCCAACUCCGUGUAGCUAAAAGGACUAGCGGAGCCGCAAGCAGCAUCAUUAACAGGAUCCCCGCCUGAUGAGGCAACAGAAGGAGACUCUUGUUCCGGAUUCUGGGCCUCAACAUUUACGACCGGAUGGGUCUCCCCGGGUGCAACCUCAGCCGGGACCAUCACAGGGACGGCUGAAGGCUCAGUUGCCAUCUCCACUUCACCCCCCUCCGGAUGAGCGUCGUGGGCGGAUGAGCAACUAACUUCAAUCUCUUGCUGACGAUCUUGAAGCCGCCCGAGGAGUUCGGACCUCAGAUUGCGCGCCGAGCGAGGCCUCUUUGAAGGUGGCCCCUUCACCAGAAUAAGAGCCAGACAGUCCAGAUCGUCAGAGGGCUGACUCUGACUUUCCGCCCCAGCUUCCUCCAUGGGGGUCGCACAAACGGCCUCAGCUGCAUCGGCAUCUGAAUUACGAGAGUCCGGAUGGUUGACGGACACAGCUUCCUCAGCCAAAUUCGCCAGACGGGCAACCGCUGCCAAGGAGGUGCUUGAGUGGUUCAGCCCCGCGACGUGUCCGGAUCCGCUUGAGAUGGAAUGAGGAGCAAGGUUCACGGGCUCCUCUAUCAUUACCUCCGCCUCGUGAGUAAUGGGCGGAGGAGCAAAUUCCUUGGGAGGAGUGGGCUCCUUCACGUCCUUCCCAUUCUUCUUCACCAGCUUCCUCCUUUUCGCUGGAGUUUUCUUUGGAGAAGAGUCUUGAUUACUACCAAAAAGUGCUAUUUUGUAGACCUAAUUAUAAUGGUUUUAAGCACCUUUGCGUAGUAAUCAUAUUCAUUUAACCCAAUUAAUUCAUUAAGGUCCUUAGUAAUUGGUUUUAACCAUUUUGUGGCAAGUUUACAUGUUUAUAUCAGCUUAUGAAUCAAUUCAAGCAUGCCAAAUGAUGGAGGAGCUACUUGGACAAGUUAAAGCAAGAUUUUAGCUACACCAAAGCAAGCCAACAAAAGGAGAAAAGCAAAGAGAAGCAAAGAGAAGCAAAAAGAAGCAAAGAGGAAAACAGAUGACAGCAGCUUCAGUCUUCUUUGGCACUUUUGGAGUACUUCCCGAAGUCCAUUUUCUACAUACUAUAUACCAUUUCAAAGCUCAGGAAGUCAAGAAUCCAACGUUUCAAACCGUGUACAAUUUGGAGCUGAAAUGAGGAAGAUAUGGCCUUCAGAAGACAACUGCUCCAGGGUUGUGCGAAAAUUUCGCACAACACCUUCCAAAUUCGCACAGCCCAUGCGUGGUGCGAAUUUUCCUCUGUUUCUGCCGACUCCACACGAGAUCUUUUCUUUUGGAUAUUUUUGUAUAAAUUUCCAUUCUUCUCCUUGUAAUCCACCAAUCAUAAGAUUUCUUAGCUAGGAAGGUUGGAAAAACUUCUCUAUUUAUAUCCCCUUGCAUCCGUUGUAACAAAUAUUGAUAUAUUGAUAUAUAGAUAUAGAAUACAUAUUACGUUUUACACUUAGAAUAUUUACAGAGCUCUCCCGUUUCUAUUUUCUUAGUAGCCAAACAGCCUUUGAGGGUUUUUCCUCAAAGGAUGAUUGGCUAAAACUUUUAGUUUCUCAAAGUAUGGAUGUUAUGUGAUGACUUGGAUGCAAUCCCAUGGAAAUUUCUCGCACCUAGAAGGUAAGGUAGUCGUUUUUCAUUAAAGGUUCAUUAAGGCAAAGUUUGGUUUUUAUUUCCUUUGGACAACUUCCAACGGCCAAUACUUGAUAAGCUUUUGGAUUUCUAUCCAUUAGUUAUCUCCUACGAGCUAUUGGAAGAUGAGGUUUUCAAUUCCAAGUUUUGCAUUAAUCCGUUAGAACCAAUUUCAAUGGCCAUUGAAAGGUGAGUUUAUCACCUGGAAUGACUUUGAGUUGCCAAUAUUUGGUAAGCUUUUGGCUUUAGACCAUUAGUUAUCUCUUACGAGCCAUUCAAAGGAAGUCUAAGGUGAAUAACCAUUGAUGAAAUUCACUACCAUCUAUUUUGCCAUUUUAAAGGAUUAAAACUUGAUUUGCUAAAUCCAUACCGGUUCGGGAAGCAAGCAUCACCAUAGUUGCAACCCCAACGCGAGGAGCCUAUCCUGAGAUUUUCAAUUUGCAUAAGAGCCAGAGCAUAGCUAUCCUAUCUUUGAGAAACUUGUUUUUACACCCUUUCAUUUUAGUCUUUAAUGUUAGCUUAGAUUAGUUUAAAUCUUUCUAAAACAUUUACAUCUUCUUUUAAAGCUAACAUCCAUAAGAAAAUCACCUAUUUUCCUAAUUUGAAUAUCACUUGUGUUUGCGAAAACCCUUCCCAGUGAACGAUCCUAGAACCACUAUGCUAUAGUAGCUUGGCUACUUUAGUAAUAGUAUUCAAGGUAUAAAUUUUGUUGAUACGCCUUUAAAGCUAAGCUACCAUGAGUCGAAUCAAGUCUCCGUCGCGUUUCUGUUCGGGAGCCUUCCGAAGGGUUCCUUCGUUUUUCUUCUUCUCCCGAUUGUCCAGGAGAACUCGGCGUUUUUCAGCGUCAGCCUCUUUUAACGCCUGGUAAAUCGGGAGAUCCUUCACAGUGUAAUGCUCCCCAGGCACUACCUCAUUUGGCAUCUUCCUGGGGAGAAUGUUGAUAACGUAUUCUUGGGGCUCCAGGACGACCGCCAUCAGGUUCCGUGCAGUCAGCAGCGUCUUGCACUGCCUCUCCUUGGCCUCUAUCUCAAACAACUUGCUAAGACAGGCAAAAGACGCCUUUUCCACCCAGUCCACAAGGUGGCCCCUCAAUUCCGGACCUACAAUAACAGCAACAAAAGAUGAGAACACCAUCCGGAAAAGUCAACAAAAAAUCAACAAAGUAAAAGCCGGACAAUAGUCGCAAAGCAAACCUACCCGGGACCAUCAAGGAGUAGUUUGGAGAGAAAGGCCUCGCCGGAUGCUCCAAAAACCCCGCCCAGGCACCCCGGACCACCACGUGUCCCGUCGCCCCUCCCUUUAUCGAAUCUGGUAGCUCCGUCACCAAUUGAAGGGAGGGCAGGUGUGCGGACAUGCUGAAGAUGUCAUUUUUUACCUUCUUCAGAGAAUAAACAAAAAACACCUCCAGCAGCGUGAGGUCGAGGUCGUACAGCAUGUUUAUGAUGUUGCAUCCCAUCAGCACCCGGACGAUGUUGGGAUGAAUGAAGACGGGAGGAAUCUGGGUGAAAUGAAGGAACUCCUUGAACAACGCCGGCAGAGGGAACCGGAGCCCCGCGUUGAAUUGUUCCUUCGAAAAGAUGAUGGUUUUUUCUUCUGAUUUAUCAGUAGGCACAAGCACCCUCCCAUCCAGCAAUUCAAUAGCCACGCUAUUCGGGAUACAGAACCGUUCCCGGAAUUCCUUCGCGUCCAGCUUAUCUGUCGUUUUUUCACGAACCUCGCUAGCCCGGGAAGUUGAAACAGUCUUUUUUGCAGCCAUUUCUUACCACAAAGACAAACCAAAAUCUACAUACAAAGAAGCGCAAUGGGUAAAACACAAGUAACCCAGAAACUACACAAACCCUAAACCAAAGCAGUCAGAAAAAAAAAAAAAAAAAAUAACCCUCAAAAAACCCCAAAGCACCAACAAAUGCCAAACAGUCGUAAGCGACUUACCCAAACAAAACCCAAACAAAUCAGAAACCAAGACCAAAGAACCAACAAAUGCAACAAAAGGAACAACAAUAGCAAAAGUACACGUACCAAAUGAAGCUCUGAAGGAGAAAGGUUGCUGCCUCGAUACAAAAUCACCAACAGCAAACGAACGACGCAACACAAAAUCACCGAUACAAAAGAGCUUUCGAGUUUCUUUUCUCAGAGAAGCAAAGGACACAACGGAAGCAAGAAGAAGAAAGGCUCUCAGGAGAAUGCAGUAGGGAAAAAAAUGCAAAAAGAAGGUACAGUGCGCUAUUUAUAAGGGGACAAGACCUCGGAAAGCCAAACGUCCAAACAAAUGCCAUCAUUGAAACGACAUAUUGCCUGGGAAUACCCAGGGUCGGCGGCUCAUCAUAAAUGUCUUUUUUGGCUUCCGCACCCCCACUCGCCACGUGGCCCAGUCAGACGAAGAGACCUCUUCAGUUUUCAAAAAAACCAGUUAUUUUUAACCCGCCCAUUUUCUGGGCAAAAUAGGCAAGUUAAAAAGGGGGGCAAUGUAGGGACCCCUCCCUUUGGGAAACAUAUGGCACGCAUCUCACAGUGACACGUGGCACGUGUCAUCAGCCGGACCAUCAUCAUCCGGAUCCCCCUAAGGAUGCGUAUUAUACAGUUCUCCUAUCCGGACCGCCUCAAGGAAAGGCAAAUGACGUUUCAGCUUCUCCUAUCCAAGGAAGAGCAAAUGACGCUGACAGAUCAUAGACAUCCGGACAACCUUCAUAACACAUUCGCUCCACAAUACAUCCGGAUAAUCAGCAUGUGACAUCCGGAUAUAAUCGUCCGGCUCAUCAAUUAAAGUAAAGCGAGUCUUACACGCUAUCACAACAAACAGCCAUGGCCCACAUCCUAUCAUCUGCAGAGUGAGAAGACAAGAUGAAGUGACAGCAAGUCACUUCCCACGAUCAGUUUUACGUGAUCACUUCCCACAAUCUUUGACAGCCGCAUCACCUACCAUGGUUUCUGACAGCCGCUCGUAGGGUGAUGAUGCUCCUACUGACGCCUAUUAUCAUCAUAACAACAUAAAAUAUCUCCUCACCAUUAAUGAGGAGGACAGUACCCCUGAAGCUGUUUAUAUAAGCCUUCACACGAAGAAGAAGGGGAUCAUCCUGGUAACCUCCUAAUACCUGGUAAAGGGCCAACUGAUUUAUAUCUCUCUCUGACCAUGGCUAACAAAACCAUCGGAGGGUGCGUCCGGACACCCUGUCUGGAUGCCUUCUUGCAGGUAUAACGACUGGAUCAAGAACCUUUAUGAGUUGAAAUCACGUGUCCAUCCAUUUGGCAACUACGUGGAUCAUCAAAGACGCGAGGUAUCAACAAUUGUUAUUUUGAACCCGCUUUUCUGAUGGCAUAUCCACUCCGGAAUCCCAUUUCUUUCAGCAAUAAAAGUUCUGACAGGUCUUCUAAAGUCACGCGCCUGCACAAAAAUUACCCUCUGAAUUUUGUGUCCCCGUGAAAAGAAAGGUUAACUGAUGUAUGAAAACCAUAUCUGAAUUUUGGAUUUAAAACAUUUGAAUAAAGAAGACCACAGUAGAAUUGAUGGACAUCUAGAUAAAUUAAACCUGAUGGAAGUUCUGGAAUAUGUUGAAGCAUCUUGCAGUGACUCAAGUAAGAGAUAAUGAUACCAGUGAUGAUAGGUAAUAAAUUUCACUGGGAAAUUCCCUUAGAUUGCAGCCUUGAAGCUUUAAUGUCCUCAAGGAGCAUAAACCGGACAAAGACGGCAAUGGAAAAUUCAUUGAAUCUAAAUGCCCAACAAUAAGAUGCUCUAAAGAUUGCAGUCUCCCCAAGUUGUCUGGCAAUUUGUUGAAGUUUGGACAGCUUCUGAUAAAGAGAGUUUUAAAAGAUGUCAAAUUACAAAUACUCUCAGGAAGAUUCACAAGGUUUUUGCAUUGUGACAGAAACAAAGAUUGAAGCUCUCUUAGAUGUUGAAUUGAUGAUGGUAUCUCUUUUAUGGCGGUUCUAUCUAAAUAAAGAUUUCUCAAGCUCUCCAUAUCUUGCAGGAUUUCUGGAAAGCUCUCUAGUUGUGAACAGCCAGAGCAGGAGAGAGUUGCAAGGGAUUUGAAAUCAAAAAUGCUACUGGGCAGACUAGUAAGAUUGUUGCAAUCCUGAAGACAUAAACUAUCAAGUUCCAAGGGAUUCUCGAUAAUGGGUACUUCAUUCAUAUCACUGCCCUUAAAACAGCACUUCCGUCGAAGCGUCCCAUCCCGUUGGCAUGCCCGACAUAUUCUAACAUCUGCAUCCUCAUGGCUUUGUUGAAGGUCUUGGGAGUAUAUAAGGCGGACUCCACACUCCUUUACUUUCAAGGCUUUCUCAGAAUUACUGUAAAAGUCGUAAAAGGUAAACCCAAUGUGAGUCCAUUGAUCAGAGCAAUACCUUUCCGGAAUAGCCGCCUUGGUAUAGCAAAUCACCCACGUCUGACCUGAUACACUCUCAUUAUCUUCGUCCUUGUCUUCUUUAUAGCAAAAACAAUUGGAUUGAAAGCAAGGACGAUCUAAAACUUCACGUCCAUCACCAAUCAUAGCCAAAGUACACAUCAGACUACAAGAACGUGUAUGUUUAUGUUCAUUCUUACGAAAAGAUUCAGCCACAGAUUUAUCGUCUGUUUCAUUCUCCCAUGCAUAAGCAGAUUCAUCCUUAGAUUUAUUGUCUGAUUCAUUCUUGGACCCGUGUGCAGAUUCCUUUUCGGGUAUGUCCUCAGAUUCGUAAGCAAGUGGAACAUAAACACAGCAUGUAGAAAAUCCCAAAAACUCAUUAUUUUGGUGCCAAUUCUGAGGGAGCUCUGUUUGUGUAAAAUAUAUAGUUGUCCGAUCCAUAAUCCAUUCUGGAAUUCCAUCACUUCCGGGAAGAACAAUGCAAGUUCCCUUGCCAUGGUAGGAAGAAUCACUAAAACUAGUGCGUUUCGAAUCCUGCACCAAAGCACCAUGUAAAUAUAGUAAAUAUAGAGUUUGCAUAUAACUAGUUGUAGGGAAUUAAACCGAAUUCCCAACCCAUGAGAAACAAAAAAAUAGAGAAAACACACGCCAAAGAAAAACAAUCACACACACAAGACAAUAUUUACGUGGUUCGGCAAUUUGCUUACGUCUACGGAGUUGCAGGGAUAUCACUAUUAUCAGGGAAGAAUACAGAGUACAACCUAGCUGCUACAAUAUUCUCUCUAUAUAUAUAACACGACAACCCCAUCACACUAAAAAACCCUAAUUACAAAAGGUGGUUCCACAAUGGGCUAAAAGAGCCCAACAGGCCUCAAUAAAUCUCCCAUUAAAAAGACAUGCAAUAUUAUUCGGGUCGGGUCGUCAAAUCGGAUCAAACAAAACUAGGCUCCACAAAGCCCAACAAAUCUCCCACUUGGAGACUAGUCCAAUCACCACAUCAAACCGCUAUCCUCCAAGAAACAAUCCCUCAUCCCUACAACUUAUCCUCCUGUCCUCAAGCUAGAAGACCAAUUGAAGCUGCGCAUAGCUUCAACUUCUCAAUAGUGACACCCUUAGUCAACAUGUCUGUCGGGUUCUUAGAUCCACAAAUCUUCUCAAGUAUUACCAGUUUAUCUUCAACAAAAUAACGGAUAAAGUGGUAUUUUGUUUGUAUAUGCUUCAACUUUGAAUGAAAAGCCGAUUUUUUUGCAAGAAAAAUUGCACUCUGACUGUCACUGUGUAGAAUGCCCAUCUCCUGCUUCUUACCCAAUUCAUCUAAGAAAACAUGUAGCCAAAUCAUCUCCUUUCCAGCUUCAGUUGCUACAACAUACUCAGCUUCUGUGGUAGACAAAGUAACAAUCUUCUGUAGAUUUGAAGCCCAUGAUAUAGCUGUACCACCUAGAGUAAAAACAAACCCAGUAGUACUCUUUCUACUAUCAAUAUCACUAGCAAAAUCAGCAUCUACAUAACCCUGCAAUUUCAAACUUGCACCUGUGAAGCAAAGACAUGUAUCUAAUGAACCCUUCAGAUAUCUUAAAAUCCACUUGACUGCCUCCCAAUGCUGCUUUCCAGGCCUACUCAUGAAUCUGCUCACAACUCUCACUACAUGUGCAAUGUUUGGCCUUGUACACACCAUAGCAUACAUCAAGCUACCAAUAGCUGAGGCAUAGGGCACCUUGCUCAUAUGGUCCCUUUCUUCUUCUGUCUUUGGUGACUGUUCUUUGCUUAGUUUGAAAUGACUACCCAAGGGUGUGCUCACUGGUUUAGCUUCAUUCAUGUUGAACCUGCUGAGAACUUUCUUCACAUACUCUGACUGUGAAAGCUUCAAUGUACCAUUAGCCUUGUCUCUAAUGAUUCUCAUACCAAGGAUUUGCUUUGCAGCUCCCAAAUCCUUCAUUGCAAAUUGUUUGGACAAUUGCUUCUUCAUAUUAUUAAUCUUCUCAAUGUCAGACCCUACAAUAAGCAUAUCAUCCACAUACAAUAGUAAUAUGAUGUAAAAAUUGUCAAAGGACUUAACAUAGCAACAAUGAUCAGCUUUACAUCUCUUGAACCCAAUUCUAUGCAUAAAAUUGUCAAACUUCUUGUACCACUAUCUAGGAGCUUGUUUAAGGCCAUACAAGCUCUUUCUCAGUUUGCAGACUAGAUUCUCUUGUCCCUGAACAAUGAACCCUUCUGGCUGAAUCAUGUAAAGGUCUUCCUCCAAGUCACCAUGAAGGAAUGUUGUCUUCACAUCUAACUGCUCAAGAUGUAAGUUUUCUGCAGCCACCAUUCCAAGUACAAGUCUAAUUGUUAACAUCUUCACAACUGGAGAAAAUAUCUCUGUGUAGUCAAUGCCCUCCUUCUGCUGGAACCCUUUAACAACUAAUCUGGCCUUGUAACGUUUGCUACCAUCAUGCUCAUUCUUUAUUCUGUAUACCCACUUAUUGUGCAAAGCCUUCUUUCCUACUGGCAAUUCAGUCAGUUCCCAUGUCUGAUUCCCUAAUAGGGAAUCCAUCUCAUUCUUCAUGGCUAACUCCCACUUGCUUGAAUUCUCAUCUUGCAAGGCUUCAUCAUAACACUCUGGCUCACCACCAUCAGUCAACAAGAGAUAAUUUAAAACAGGUGAAUAACGUUGCGGAGGUCUAAUGUUCCUAGAAGAUCUGCGAACUUCAGCUACAGGUGUACUCAAAUCUACCUGUGAAUUUACAUUUUUCUUAUCUCCUUCACCCCCUUUUUGGACAGUACUUUCAGUCAAUUCAUCUAAGUUGACAAACUCAGAUUUCUUUUGAUCUAUCUCUAUAAUAUCUGACACUACAGUUGACCUGUCCUUGUACAUAACCUGUUCAUUAAAUAUCACAUUUCUACUUCUGAUGAUUUUCCUAUUUUGUUCAUCCCAAAACCUAUAGCCAAAUUUCUCAUCACCAUAGCCAAUGAAAAAACAUAUUUUUGACUUUGCAUCAAGUUUACUACGAGCAUCAGAAUCAAUAUGAACAUAAGAAACACAACCAAAAACUUUUAAAUGUGAAAACUUCACCUCUUUACCGCUCCAAACCUCCUUAGGAAGUCUGAACUCCAUGGGAACUGAUGGUCCUCGGUUUAUUAGGUAAGCUGCAGUGCUAACAGCAUCAGCCCAAAAAGUUUUUGGUAGUCCAGCAUGCAACCUCAUACUUCUAGCACGCUCAUUGAGAGUUCUGUUCAUGCGCUCAGCCACACCAUUUUGCUGUGGUGUCCUAGGAAUGGUCUUCUCCAUCCUAAUUCCCUGUGCAGCACAAUACUCACUGAACCCUCCAUCUAUGUACUCUCCUCCAUUAUCUGACCUCAAACAUUUUAUUUUCAAAACUAUUUCUGUCUCAACCAUGGCCUUUCACUUCUUAAAAGUUUCAAAUACAUCUGAUUUAUUUUUCAGAAAAUAAACCCAUACCUUUCUACUUGAGUCAUCAAUAAAAGUGAUCUAGUACCUUGAACCUCCUAGGGAUGCAACCGGAGAAGGCCCCCACAAAUUAGUGUGCACUAGUUCCAAUUUUUCAGCCUUCGGUGUCCUGCUAGUUUUCAAGAAGCUCACAUUUUUUUGCUUUCCUAAGAUGCAACUUUCACACAUGUCAAAAUCAAUGGACUUCAAUUCUGGUAGUUUUCCUUUUAACAACAACAUCUUCAUCCCUUUCUCACUCAUGUGACCAAGUCUGCGGUGCCAUAGGCUUGUAUCAGUACUUGCAUCAGCAACUGCAAUUGUGUCUCUUGGACAUGAGGUCAUAUACAGAGUACCAGUCUUCUUUCCACGAGCCAAUACCCUAGCUCCCUUUGUAACCUUCCAAGUACCACCAACAAAUAGUAUUGCAUGUCCAUCAUCAAGUUGUCCAAUAGAAAUCAGAUUCCUCCUCAGGUCAGGAAUAUGUCGAACCUUCUCCAGUAACCAAACAGACCCAUUGGGCAACGAUAUCCGGACGUCUCCCAGACCCACAACAUCCAAGGCUGAACCAUCAGCCAAAUACACCUUACCAAAAUCACCUGCAAUGUAAUUCUGUAUGAUUUCUCGGUGUGGAGUAGUAUGAAACGAAGCUCCUGAAUCCAAAACCCAAUCAUCAAGUGGACUGUCUACUGUAAGAAGUAAUGCAUCCUGUACCUCUUCUGUUACAGCAUUAGCAGAAUCAUCUUCAUUCUUCUUCUUAGGGCUUUUGCAUUGCCUUUUAAAGUGACUUGUUUUCCCACAAUUCCAGCAUUGUACUUGUUGGCCUGAUCUAGAUUUGCUUCUGUUUCGAUUAGAAUUUCUGGAAUUUGAUCUACCCCGAUUUGAAUUUCUGUCAUUACCUUUGCCUCUUGUCUCAAGGUUUAGGGCAGAACCAGAUCCUGAGGUUUCACCUGCAUCUCUUCGGCGAAUCUCCUCAGCCAGAAUUAAAUCUCGUAUAUCAUUGUACUUGAGCUUUUCCUUUCCCGUAGAAUUGCAUACUACCAUCCUCAUUGCCUCCCAACUGUUUGGCAAAGAAGCCAAGACGAUCAGAGCACGAAUCUCAUCAUCAAAAUCAAUUUCUACAGACGACAAUUGAUUUGUGAUUGUAUUAAAUUCAUUCAGAUGUUGUGCUACUGAUGCAUUCUUUGCCAUCUUCAAAUUGAACAAUUUCUUCAUCAGAUGCACCUUAUUGUUUGCGGACGGCUUUUCAUACAUACCGGACAAAGCCUUCAUCAAAUCUGCUAUGGUCUUCUCCUUUACAACAUUAUGUGCAACAGACUUAGACAGAGUUAACCUAAUAAUUCCUAGAACCUGUCUGUCAAGAAGUGCUCAUUCCUCAACCUUCAUACUCUCAGGUUUUGUCCCCAAAAGAGGCAGAUGCAAUUUCCUCCCAUAGAGAUAAUCUUCAAUCUGCAUCCUCCAAUACGCAAAGUCUGUGCCAUCAAACUUUUCUAUUCCAGACGCCUUUCCUGCUUCCUCUGCCAUUGCUCCCACUCAAACCUAACCCUAGGCUCUGAUACCAGUUGUAGGGAAUUAAACCGAAUUCCCAACCCGUGAGAAACAAAAAAAAAUAGAGAAAACACACGCCAAAGAAAAACAAUCACACACACAAGACAAUAUUUACGUGGUUCAGCAAUUUGCCUACGUCCACGGAGUUGCAGGGAUAUCACUAUUAUCAAGGAAGAAUACAGAGUACAACCUAGCGGCUACAAUAUUCUCUCUAUAUAUAUAACACGGCAACCCCAUCACACUAAAAAAACACUAAUUACAAAAGGUGGUUCCACAAUGGGCUAAACGAGCCCAACAGGCCUUAAUAAAUCUCCCAUUAAAAAGCCAUGCAAUAUUAUUCGGGUCGGGUCAUCAAAUUGGAUCAAACAAAACUAGGCUCCACAAAGCCCAACACUAGUGUGUGACAUGAAAAUCAUACCUAUGCCCAACUGAAGCAAUUGACCAAAGAAUGCAAUGACAAAAAUGGGGCUCUUGAUGAAGUGCGAUUUGAACCGUGUGCAUCUAAAAGCCGUAGACGUGAUGGAAGCUCUGGAAUUUGUUCAAGAUUGCUGCAGUGACUAAGGUUAAGGGUUUUCAGCCUGGAAAGCUGAUUGAUGGUAGGAGGCAUGCUACUAAAAUGGCCCCCUUCCAGAUUUAGUUUUUGUAAUGAUGAUAAAUAGCAAAUAUCACUAGGAAUUCCUCCUUCCAUCAUGUUGCAGAGACCUAGGUCCAAUACUUUCAAUGAUGAUAAGUGGCAAAUAUGACCAGGGAUUUUGUGGAGCUUUCAACACUCUUCAAGUAGGAGAGUUUGAAGACCAUUUAGAUGUGUAAUUGAUGACGGUAAGUCCAUUGUAGUUGUUCCACUCAAAUCAAGCACCCUUAGCUUUCUUAUAUUGCCCUUGAUUUCUGGAAAUCUCUCUAACUUUGAACAGCCAUUGCAAGACAACGUUUGAAGGUGUUUCCACUUAUAAAUGCGUCUUGGAAGAAGCUCCAGGCUUACACACCCUGCAAGAUUCAAGGGAAAAUAAAAAAUCAAAAAAGUUAGUCUUAGUAAUUAUAAUACUGCUGCACCAAUCAUUUAAGUACCAUGCAUUGUACAACCUUCUAGAGUUAGAAUCUCCAAGUUUGGGACACUUGAGAAGUCUGGAAUUCUGAUGAGAUGGACAGAGUGACUGAGAUCAAUAACCCUCAACUUGUCAUGAAGCUGUAACAAAAUAAUUUUUUUCAAUAGAUAAAUUUACAUGCUAAAAAUUAAUAUAAAAUUACACUGUAACUAAAUAAUAAUAACAAUACCUUAUUCCCCCUCCAAGCUCGCUUUAUAUUGCUGUCCCUUAAUGAGAGUUCAACAAGGUUCUUUGCAUGAAAAUUAACUGGCAAAGAUUCUAAAGGGUAUCCAUCCCAAUGCAGAUAUCUUAGCUCAUAAGAAGGGAAUUCAAAGUCCCUUGGAAGGUGGUUUUCAAGAAACAACUUUCUACGCAGGUUAUGGAUUUUGAGCAAUCUAAGUUUAUGCAUCUCUUUGAAAGAUUCCGUGGUAAGCUGUGAUGGAUUAAAUUUACAUCUAUCUAGGAAUAGUCCUUCAAUUGCUCGUGUCCCAAGAAAAAUAUAAGACAAGUAAGUGAAACAAAAGAUGCAUUAAACUUAAUUGAGUUAUAUACAUGGCUAAUUUCUGAAAAAAUAACAAUAGUAUUGAAGCUUGGAUACAUAGGUAUAAACAAGUUCAUGCAUUUGACUCUUACCAUAUUUUGUAUAAGCACAUGAUAGGCCUUAGAAUCCCUCAAUCUACUCCUUCUUCCAGGGUCUUUAGGACAUUCUUGACGAAUAAUCUCCCAACCCAUUUGUUGUAUUAAAUGAUGCAUAUCUAGCAUGUUUUUUGAAACAGUUAUGAGACAUCUAUCAUCUAGAGUUGUUAUUCCAUGCUUUGCAUGUGGGCCCAAUAUUCUUGAAACAAAAUCUUUGUCAUCUCCUUUGAAAAAACACGCAACAUCCAAAAAUAUCCCUUUGUCUAUGUCAUCGAGUCCAUCAAAACUUAUUCUAAGUACAUUGUGAAUUUCCAUGUGGGGUAUUAUUUUUAGCUUACACAAUGCACCUUCCCAUUCACUUAUUUUCUUUCCAAAAGAGAAGCACCCAAAACUUUAAGUGCUAAUGAAAGGCCAUUAGCAUAAUCUAUGAUAUUGUAUGAGAGGUUUUUAUAAACUUUUUUGGGAUGAUUUUGUUUAGAGGCCCACAAACUAAAUAGCUCAAUUGCUUCUUCCUUGUUUAAUUUUGAAACCUCAUAUGGUAUAUCCACUCCAUAUCAAGCAAGCACGUGUUUGUCUCUAGAUGUAAUGAUGAUUGUACUUUUUGCCUGAAACCAAUCCUUAUCUUCAGCCAAACAUUCUAGUUGUUUCAACUCAUCCACAUCAUCAAAAAUAAUAAGAACUCUGUUGGAGCUUAGACACCUCUUUAUCAUACUAAUUCCUUCAUCAACAUUGUUUAUCUUAAAAAAAUUUCCCCUUAGGAUACCAUGAAGAAGUUCAUGUUGUAACUGAAGUAUAUCACCUUUGGAUCUCUCUCUGAUAUUUCUAAGAAAGCUACUACCAUCCUAUUGACACGAGAUCUCAUUAUAAAUAGCCUUGGCGAUAGUAGUCUUACCAACCCCACCAGUUCCACAUAUCCCUAUGACUCUAACCUUAUUUAACUCGGUGUUCAUCAACAAUUUCAAAUUUUCCAAAUGAACACUAAUUCCAACCACGUUUUUUCCCACACUUAAAGGUUGAAGGUCUAAUCUUCUAAUGAUUGUAUUAACAAUUUCCUUGACAACCUCAGUCUCAUACCUGCCAAUCAUAUAAAUUAAGUAAAAUGAUGAGUUAGAAUGAGUUGCAAAAUAUAAUAAAUUUAAAAUAAAUUUAGUUGUGUAUGGUCUUGUCCAAUAUUAUUGAAUUAGUAGCAAUGGAAUGAAAAAGAAAGGGGUCAAGCCAAUUUACUUACAUAUUUAAGCUUCAAAUUUGUAAGUAUCAAACUACUAAUGUGCCAAGUUGCAAAUUUUCAAUACUCUUACUGUUGGAGCAUUGUGUAGGACUCCUCUAUGAACAAGUUAAUGCCUUCUUUCAACUUUUAUUUCACAACCAACUUGCUUAUGAUUCCUCAAUUUCACUUGUCUUUAGGUUUUAUUAACUUACCAAUACUUACCAAUGUUGCAAAGACUGUUUUUAGCCUGCCAAUUAAUUUUGCAUUUCCAUAGAGGAAUCAGGAAACGAGUGAAUGUGGAGAAUUUCAUGAUUUGCUUGUUGAUUGGGAACUUAAAUAUGAUUUGCUUUAGAGAAAAUUAUAAAAGGGUUAAAUUUUGAUAAUUGUAUUUUUGGACCAACACAAGGGAAAAAUGAAAGUUAGAUUUUGUUAACAAUUUCAUACUUACUUUUGUAUCAUCUCCUUCUUUUCUUGAUUUGCAUCUCUUUCAUGGUAGGCAAGUGCGUCUCCGAAACUUCACCUUUGGUUUCGUACAUCAGAUGGAUCCACAUGGUAGAAAAUUGGUAGAACCACUGAUUCCUUUUGGCUCUUGCGUUCAAUGAUCUUUACGAGUUCAUUUAAACACCAUCUGGAGUAAGCAUAAUUUUUUGAGAAAAUAACAAUAAAAAACCUCGAUUCUUCUAUAGCUCUCAAGAGAUCAGAUGCAAUAUCUCCCCCUUUCUCAAGUUCUUCAUCAUCUCUGAAAGUUUGAAUUCCAGAUGCAGUCAAUGUGGUAUAUAGAUGAUCAGUGAAAUUUCUGCGAGUAUCGCCACCUCUAAAACUCAAGAACACAUCAUAAUUACGAGAAAUAGAAGUAGUCGAAGAAGAGGCUCUAUGGGUGCUGGAAGAAGCCAUUUUUGGAUGGCUUGAACCAAAAUUACAAGGGAGUUUGGAGGGUCCUUGGAUGCUCAAUGACUAUUGGCUCCAGACCUCUUCACCAUGAACAAAAAUCCAAGCUGGGAGGGAGGUUCAGCUGAAAAGCUUCAUCUGCAGUCGUAAAAGAAAAGAAAAACGUAUAUAAAGCCCUCUUUGAGAAAUUUCUUUGUAUAUAAAUUCUAAGAGAAACUCACACAUAUUUUACCUUUUGGUUGGGGAAGAUCCUUUCUCCAUUCCCUUUGUGUUGGAGACUGCAUUAAGGGAUGCAGAGAAGAUGGUGGGGAAGGUGUUGAAGAAGAGGCGGUGGGUAGCAGAGGUCUCGUUGACUGGGUGGAUGGAAUCGAGGUAAGGAAUUCUAAUAUUUUGAAAUGAAAUUUCAUGGAAGGUGUUGUUUUCAGUUUUUGUUUCCACAAAUAUUUGUGCGCGGCACCUAUGAUGAUNNNNNNNNNNNNNNNNNNNNNNNNNNNNNNNNNNNNNNNNNNNNNNNNNNNNNNNNNNNNNNNNNNNNNNNNNNNNNNNNNNNNNNNNNNNNNNNNNNNNCCCUUUGGUUUCGUACAUCAGAUGGAUCCACAUGGUAGAAGAUUGGUAGAACCACUGAUUCCUUUUGGCUCUUGCGUUCAAUGAUCUUUACGAGUUCAUUUAAACACCAUCUGGAGUAAGCAUAAUUUUUUGAGAAAACAAUAAUAAAAAACCUCGAUUCUUCUAUAGCUCUCAAGAGAUCAGAUGCAAUAUCUCCUCCUUUCUCAAGUUCUUCAUCAUCUCUGAAAGUUUGAAUUCCAGAUGCAGUCAAUGUGGUAUAUAGAUGAUCAGUGAAAUUUCUGCGAGUAUCGCCACCUCUAAAACUCAAGAACACAUCAUAAUUACGAGAAAUAGAAGUAGUCGAAGAAGAGGCUCUAUGGGUGCUGGAAGAAGCCAUUUUUGGAUGGCUUGAACCAAAAUUACAAGGGAGUUUGGAGGGUCCUUGGAUGCUCAAUGACUAUUGGCUCCAGACCUCUUCACCAUGAACAAAAAUCCAAGCUGGGAGGGAGGUUCAGCUGAAAAGCUUCAUCUGCAGUCGUAAAAGAAAAGAAAAACGUAUAUAAAGCCCUCUUUGAGAAAUUUCUUUGUAUAUAAAUUCUAAGAGAAACUCACACAUAUUUUACCUUUUGGUUGGGGAAGAUCCUUUCUCCAUUCCCUUCGUGUUGGAGACUGCAGUUAAGGGAUGUAGAGAAGAUGGUGGGGAAGAUGGUGUGGAGGAUAGGCAGGGGUUGAAGGAGAGGCGGUGGGCAGCAGAGGUCUCGUUCACUAGUGGAUGGAAUCGAGGUAAGGAAUUCUAAUAUUUUGAAAUGAAAUUUCAUGGAAGGUGUUGUUUAUAGUUUUUGUUUCCGUCGUAUUUGUGCGGCACCUAAACGACAAAAUUAUGAUGAUGGGAAUCCCUAACUAAGACUAAAAGUGAUGCUUUUCUUUUUUCCUUUUUUUCUUCAAUUUAAGUAUUUUGAUAAUAUUAGUUUUUAUAGAUAUUGAUGGGAAAAUUCUAAGAAAUUUAUUAGAUUCUAGUACGAAAUCCACGUCAAAGUAGGAUGCUAACUAAAAGUCAAUAGAGCUCUGUGACCUUUCACAUUAGAAAAUAGUUGGAUUCAUGUAGAAGAUGCAAACUUUCCCUCCACACCCAAUGUAAUAUUCCAUUUUUUUUUUCUAAUUUUAUUUUUCCCUCUAGUUCCAAUAUUUGUACAACUUCAUCCUUAUUUAGUUUAUUUCCUUUUCUAUCUAAUAUUUAUUUUGAUAUUUUACAACUUGAAUUUACAGAAUAUCUUUUGUUCGAUAAUUUUUUGUUUUAAUUUUUAUGAAAAAUAUUGGUUUUUAUAGAUAUUUCGGUAAACCACAAUUAUAAUUUUCUUAAGAAUUUUAAAAAUUAUAAUAAUGAUUUUUAUACUUUUAUUAAUUAAUUAAAAAUUUUAAAAUAAAAUAAUUAGAAUUGGUUGAUUUACUUUUUUAAUAAUAAACUUUAAGAUAUUUAUUGUGAAUAUAUAUUAAAUAACAUAAAUUUAGCCCAAGGGUAGCUGGGCUCAUAUCCAAGCCUUUUGCUUGGGUUCGAAUCCCUUAGGCACAGGUGUUGGUAGAAAAAUUUCCUCCAUUUCGGGGAAAAACUCACCUUUUGGUGUGGAAUACUUUCAUCUAUGUAUUUAUGAUAUUGUUCUACAAAAUUUUCCGAAAAAGUUUUUUGUUUCUUGUUUUCCUUACUUUUCCAACUAUUUAAUUCUUUUUAAAUACACCGAUGAGUCACUUCAAGGCAACAAUAAUCCAUGUAAUUAUUUUUAUUUUUUGUUUUUAUAAUAUGUGUAUGGCUUAGAGAUGGCAAGCAUGAUAAUGAGAAAUCUCGAGUUAAAUUUAAACCAUGUUUUUUUUAGUAAUUGAUUAUCUACCUUGCCUUUCAUUUUGAUGUUUUACUUCUAACAUAUAUGACAUUUUAGUUUGGUGUUCUCCUUGGACUUUAAUUAUGGAGCUAAUUCUUAUAAUUAUUGGUAGGAAAUUUCUUAUGACCAUCAAGAAAUUUAAUUAAUCUUGCUAUAGAAAUUGAUAUGAAAGUAGGCUAUUAACAAAAGGUCAAUAGACCUCAAUGUUCUUUUACAUUGAAAGAUAGUGAAAUUUACAUGGAAAAAAUAACUAAUGCUAUAAAAGUUUGUAUGAAAACAAUGUUAUUUACAAAAGGUCAAUAGACGUCAAUGUCCCUUCACAUUGAAAGAUAGUGAAAUUUACAUUGAAAAAAGCAACCAAGCCUUGCAUGCGAAGUUUCAUUUUUGCAUUUUUUUUUUCCUUUUUCUUUUUAUGUUUUCCCAUUGGGCAUUAUCUAUCUAUCUAUCUAUAUACAUAUAUACACCUCAUUUCUACAACUUUUUUUGCUCAACUUUCUUUUUCUUUUGUUAUUUGUAUUUAGUAACAAUGGGUUCAUUUGACAUUCAUUCCAAAGCCUCCUUUUUUUGUCCUAAAAUUAUUCAAAUGAUGAUAUCAUAUAAGGAAUUUCUUAAAUAGAUGCUUGUAAAAAUUAUAUCAAUUUAUAAUACUUUUAUUCUAAAAAAAUAUCAUCUCCUUUUCUUUAAUAUUUACCCUUUAAUCAUUGUUGCAAAAUGAUAAAAUUAAAGUAAGUGAAAUUAUGCUUUAUUUGAUAUUGAAGUGUAGGUAAGAAAAUAAAUGGAUAAAAGUGUAACAUAGAACUUUUCUUCUUUUUCCUUUUCCCAUUUGAAAGGUGUUUGUAGUUGAAGUAAAAAAAUAUCAAGUGGCAUAACAAAAAUAUAGGAUUCACGAAAAGAGUCGAAUUAAAGGUCUUUGAUGACUAUCUUUUGCAUUUUCUUUUUUUCUUUUUUCCUUUCAAUAUUCAAUAACCACUCUUCUCUUUUAGUAGUUGUCUUGAACUUUGAUGACAAUUGCACAAAGGCUUUUACGAAAUUUGCUUGAAGGCAUACUACCAUCCAAGGAAAAUUGCAUGAAAAUAUUUCAUAUCAUUUCUUGAAAUUUAAAUCUUGGUAAGAAAUUGGUUUAAAGGUAAGCUACUACCAAAGUUUAGAAGAUAGAAUGUCUUUCACACGAUUUCUCAUGUUUGGGUAACAUGAAAAAAAUAACGUUUUUUUUUUUCAUUUUUCUUUUCUUUUUCUCCUUUUUGGCAUUCAUUGGUGACUAGAUAUACACAUAUAGUAUAAUUUUUAUAAGUAUUCCCUUUAAUGUUUUUUUCCAAAAUAAUAUUUGAGGAACCUUGAUUAUACCCUUUUAUUAUAUUUUUUUUCAGAAAAAAGAAAAAAUCUUUUAUGCAUGUUGUUCAUAUCAUAUAUGAUAAUUUAAUUAAAUUUUAGUUACAACUUUGAGUCACUCAAAGCCCACAAAAUCCAUUUAAUAAUUUUUUGUUUAAAUAUUUAUAUAGCCAGAGGUGCCAAAUAUAACUAUAAGAGAUCAAUGGAUAUGAAUAUAAAAAUGACUAAAACUAUACAAUAGUUUUCCUUUUUAUAUAUUUACUUUCUAAUUUUGUAGCUAUUUUGCACUUUCAUAAAAACUUUUAUAAACUUUGUGUGAAAUUUGCAUGAAGAUAGUUCAUAUACUUGUAUGUAUGUAUCUAUAUACAUAUCAAAUCACUUAAUGAUAGUUGGCUUCACAUGGAAAAAGCAAAUAUUGCCUCUUCACUUAAUUAUUAUAGUAAUGUGAUAUUUCAUCUUGCAAUUUUUAUUUUCAUCCCUUGGCAUUAAAUACUAUGCUAUUAUUUAUAAUACUUCUAUUUUUUCUUAAACUACUUUUUUUUAUUUGAAUUUAGUAAUAGUGGGUUCUCUUAACAUUCAUUUCAAAGCCUUCUUAUUUGUUCUCAAAUUAUUCAAAAGAUGAUAUCAUAUAUUGAAUUUAUGAAAUAGAUGCUUCCAAAAGUUAUGUCAAAUGAUAGUAUUUUUCAAAGAAAAAAAUAUUUUCCCUUUUUCUUUAAUAUUUAUCCUUUUGUCAUUGCUACAAAAUAAGUGCAAUUAUACUUCAUUUGAUGAUUAAUAAAGAAAAAAUGUUAUUUUUUCUUGAUUAAAUAUUUAUCCUUUAAUUAUUUUUGCAAAGUUAAAUUAGAGUUUUCAUGAAUGCCUUUUCUACUACAAUUAUGAAAUUUAAAAUUUCUCAGUACAUUGAAAUCUCUCAAAGAAAUUGAGAAACCAAUCUUUUAACUAACUCCUUGAAGAACUUAUCAUAAAUAACGUAGUGGAAAAGAUAAGUAUCAUGGUUGAAAUUCAAAAUAAUAUUUGCAACUUAAAGAUUUCUUUGAGCAUUAAAGUUUAGUGCUAUAUUAUAAUAGCAACUAAAAAGACAUUUUUUGCUCAUUUUUCCCAUUUAUUCUUUUGAAAGUAUGAAAAGAAAACUACAAGUUAUAUAAUAAAAGGGAGGAAAAAUCUUUAAUCUUAAUAAGUGAGAAGAAAGAACAAAGUUUCUAUAAGAUUUUCAUGAAAUUUAUGUGAAAAAAGGUAAUGCAUAAAAGUAAAUAAAAUUUGAAAUUCUUUGCAUACUUUAAAUUUAUAUAAUUGGAUCGGUUGACAAUGUUGUCCUUGUCCUACAUCAAUAUAUGAUAGUAAAAGCACAACCUCCUUAAUAUACUUGUUGUAACCACCCACAACCAAUCGUGUAAAUAUUAUUCACUCUAGGUCCAAAUGUGUCCUUACGAUUUUAAAAUGCAUCUAUAUGGUUUGAUGUGAGUUGUUACAAAUUGUAUCAAAACUACUAGGGUAGUUUGUUUGUUCCUUAGGAGGUGUUUGUUUGUUUGACCCCGUAAUUCUAUGAGAUACAACAAAGACGUUGUAUUUGCAUGAGAGUGUUUGUAAUAUCUCACAUCGGAUAGAGGAGAAAACUAUUAAGGCUAUGUACGUAAAUGCGUUUGUUUUAACUUUAUAGACACCUUUUAAAGUAGUAAGGGCCCAUUUGGACCAAGAGUAGACUAUAUCUACAUGGUUAGGUGCAGAUCGUUACACUUGUAAUUUCAUUGAUUUAAUUCAUUUUUUUUACUUUUUUAUUUUAAAUUUUAAAUUUUUUUUUUUUUUUUUUUGUUGCUUUGAUAUCCCUCAUCACCACUUUGCUUUUGCACUUAAGGAGCAUCAUUUUUCAAUAUUUUUUCUUUUUUAAUUAAUUUUGUUAUUAUUGUUUGGAUUUUCACUCAAAUAUUUAUAAGAAUAAUAGAAAGAUAUUCUUUUAUGUAUAAUUAGUUUUAUAAACUAUGACUAAACUCAAGUAGUUAUCUAUCAAAUAGUAAGACUAUAUUUCUUAUCAUCUAAAUCAAAUUUUGAAGUUACCCAAUUAGAAACAUUUCUAAAAAAGAGGAAUAUCAACAACCUUUUUAUUUAUUUAUUUUGAACGAGGAAUGUUAAUAUUUUGUCAUCAUUUUAUAAAUAUAAGUAAGAUUUAAAAAAAAUAGCAAAAAAUAAAAAUAAAUAAGGCAUAAAAAUUAGAAAAUUGGAUGGAUGAAAGUAUAGCAUACAACUUUUUUUUUUCAUUUGAAAGGUAUUUGUAGUUAAAGUAAAAAAAAAUAUCAAGUGCUAUUACAAAAACAUAGGAUUUUCAAAAAGAACUUAAAAUAUAUCCAUUAUGUAAAUUGUCUACAUAUAGUCAAAUAAUAAUAUUAUGGGUUUUUUUAUUAUACUUAUGAACAUAAAUUUUAAAUUACACAAACACCAAAAAGAAUUGAAAGCAAGAAAAUUAAGUGUACAAAACGUAUUAAAUUAUUUAGUAAGAUAAAACAGACUAUCAAUAACAUAUAUUAGAAUAAUAUGAAUAAGCAACCUAUUUCUACAAGAGAAAAUUUUGAAGUUUUUAGGAAUAUUAAAAGUAUAUAAUAACAUAUUAAAGAUUCAUUCCAAAUUUUUUCCAUGAAAUAAUUUCAAGUCAUGGGAAAUUCAUAAUCAAUUUAGAAUAAUUUUAUAUGAAAUUUUAAUAUUUUAAAUUAAAUAAUGUUUUUCUAUAUCUUUGUAACCAGCAAUGACUUGAAGUCAGUGACACUUCCCCCCUCUCUCUAAAAUACUUCUUUCUUGUCUCUCUUUGAAAGGUUUGAACUUGUGAAAGGAUUCCAUAUCAUUUUUCAAGGUAGGAAAAAAUUUUCUAUCUUUAUUUUUCUCUCUUUGAAUGAUUUACUGCCAUGUUAAUGAAAAUUGGAAACUUACAAAAAUAUUAAGAAAAAACUUCAAAAUAUGAUAAAAUAAAAAUACUUUGAAAAAUAUAAUACAUAUAAUAUUUUUGUGAUAUUUUGUGAUAUUUUGUGAUAAUAUAUAGAAUUUAAAAACAUAUUAUUAUUAAAAUUAUAAUAUAUUUAGUUUGAUUAUAUAAAAUAAGUGAUACUAUAUAUAUGUAUAAAUAUUUUUAUUUAAAAAUAUUGAUAAUGUUAUUUUUUUAUUUAAUUAUUAUACAAAAGAUACUAAUAUAAUUAAAAUUGAUUUUUAAUUUAUAAUAUAUUUAUCUAUAUAUUUGUAUUAUAUAUAGUUUAGACGUGUAAUAUAACCAAAGUAGUAGCUUGGGUCUAAUUAACGGUCGCACCAUUCACCCGUAAGCAUUGGGUCAUGGGUUCGAUUCCACAACCAAUCUUGUUGCUUCUAGUGGUUUUCUUAAGCUUUGAUGACAAUCUCCCAAAGCCUUAUUAGAAAUUUGCUUGCAAAAAAGCUACCAUCCGAAGUUUAAUGGUCCAAAGUUCAAUGAAUUACCAGGAAAAUUUACAUGAAUUUCACAUCAUUUCUUAAAAUUUAGUCUUGCUAAGAAAUUGGUUUGAAGGCAUGCUACUACCAAAGUUUAAUAAACCAAGGAAAAUGGAAGACAUUUCACACUAUUUCUCGAAAUUGGGAUCCUAGUAGAAAAUUUCUUUCAAGAUAGGCCAAAAACAAAAUUGAAUAAACCAAGGAAAUUAGCAUGAUGACAUUUCACACUAUUUAGUUACAUGAUUGUUGGGUAUUACCUAAAAUUCAAAAGACCAAAGAAAAUUUCCUCUCUAUAGUUGGCUUUAUGUAGAAAAAGCAAUCCUUGUCUCAUUUUUUAUAUUGAUAUAAUGUUUAUUUGUUGUUGUCAUGCAUUCAAUAAUAUAUACUACAACUACGUACUACCAUUUUUCCCAUCUAUCAUUGGCUUAAGUUAAAUCUCAUUCUUAAACAAUUGAUAAUAUAUACAACUACUAAUAGUAUACUACUAUUACUACUACUAUACUAUUUCUACUAGUAGUAGUAUACAUUCUAAUUCUUUAUAGUAAUGUAAUAUUUACUACUACUACUAACUACACAUUCUAAUUCUUUAUACUACUACUACUAAGUAUGCUACAAUAAUUACUAUUAGUAGUAUAAUACUAUUACUACUACUCCUACUAUUAGUAUACUACUAUUACUACUAUUAGUAGUAUAUUACUAUGCCUACUACUAGUACACAUUCUAAUUCUUAAUAAUAGUGUAAUAUUUAUUCUAAUUCUUUAUAGUAAUGUAAUAUUUAUUUAUUUUUAUCAUGCAUUCAAUAAUAUAUACUCAAUAAUAUAUACUACUUCAUUACUACUACUACUACUACUACUACUACUACUACUACUACUACUACUUCAUUUGACAUUUAUUUCAAAGCCUCCUCAUGCAUCCUCAAAUUAUUCCAAAAAAAAAAACAUAAAUAAUUUUUUAGAAAAUUAAUGCUUAUAAAAAUUAUAUGAAAAUAAUCGUUAUUUUAAAAGAAAUCUCACCCCAUUUUCUUUAAUAUUUGAUGACGAAUAUAAUAUAAUUAAAAAGAGUACUCUAUUGUACAAAUCAUGUAACUUCUAAAGUAUCUCUAUUUAGGGCUUGUUUGAAACCAUAGAAUAAAGCAUGGGAAUGAGUUAAUGUGUUUGGAUUAUUUUUGGAAUAAGAAUAGGGAUACAAAUUCAUUGUUAUGGAAACCAAAUUCCAUUAUCACUAGGAUUUUUAUUCCUUUAUCUUAUCUUACAUUGGAUUAGGAUUCACCCUAUCCUCAUUCUAUUUCCAUUCCUAAUUUCAUGUACCAAACGAAACCUUAGACCAUGUUUGGUAUGUAGGAAUUGAGAUGAGAAUAAACAUUUUGUUUCCAUUCUUAAUUGAUCUUGAAUAAAAUUAAAUUUGGUAAUUCCAAUUCUUAUAUUUGGAUGCACUUAUAAAUGGAAUGUUGGAAUGAUCAUUUGUUUUCAUUUUAAUGUUUGAUAACAAUAGGUAUGAAAUUAAUUUUCUCAUUAGAAGAACAAAAACCUUAGAAUAUAAUGAAAAGUUUAAUAAAGUUGAAAGGAGGAAAUCAAUAAAGAAAUGAUAUUUUUAACUUUCUUAAGUUUAAUUUGUACACUUUUUUUAUAUUAAAUUCAAUUUUUAAAUUUGUAAUUAUUUAACCAAAUCCAAAACAACAUACUUAGCUUCAAUUUAUGUUUCCAACUUGUAUAUGUUAAUAUAUAUAUAAGACUUAGUGGUAGUAAAGUAGUUUUGAACCAAUAACCUGUAGAGCAAAUUUGUCUACUUAAACUAGUACUUUGACAAUCUCAUCCUUUGAAAAUUUUGGAACAAUACAAAAUAUUGCAAUACAACCCUCUAAAACUCUGAAAUUAAGAUCCUAAAGUUGCUCGACCUAAUCCUUACCAAAGAUCACUCACUAUAAAUAACACCUUCUUAUCUUUCUUUUUUUGCAUAAAUAUGUCACCUCAAAACACCUCCUCUUGAAUUUGAUUGCUUGUUCUUAAUUUGACAUUCUCUUUCCCUUUUAGAUUUAAAAAAAACAAACAAACAAACAAAUGGAGUAGCAAAUUAAAAAAGGGUGUGAAUUCAACUUGAUAAGAGUUUAAUCAAAAUUGGAAAUUUGCUUGUAAUAUCUAACUUGCCUAAAUGAAUAAGGAUGUAUGGGUUGAUCAAUUGAGCUUUAGGCCCUUGAAUAAUCAUCUCAACUUUCACUUUCAAUUGCUUGAGAUAUUUCAUUUGGAUAUCAAUCAAACCCAAGGUUGAGACAUUAAAUUGUACGUGUGUUAGUUUUUAUGAUAAACUAGUUUCACAAAAUGGUUGAUGCUUCAAAAGUAAUAACUUAGUUAACAAAUACAAUGCCAUAAUUUUAUAUUUUUGCUCAUUUGACGUGUGUGGGAACAAAAACUAACAUGGAUCUUAAAGUAUUCCAAAACAAAAUACUUGGAAUUGAAAUAUUCUUUCCCACCUAAUAUUCAGGGUGGUGCCAUCACAGCUUCUCUCCACAUCAGUAUUAGUAUCUUCUACUGCUGAACUGGUGUCACAGCUUACUUCUACGUUGUACAAUUGUGAGAUUGUUCUGUUCAUAAUCAUGGGCAUAUAGAAAGUGGAAGCCACACCUUGCCGCUUUCACUGGUUUAAUACCAAAGUAGGCAUUAAAUGAAGCGUUCAAGGUUCUCCAUUCAUUUGAGUGAUAUCUCUUGGGAAAACGGGACUUAGGAUAAUAUAUCAAGCACCCUUGACUUGAUAUAUUAUGUAUCAAGUCAUAGCAGAAUUCACAAAAUUGAAUAGACUCAUAGGAAAAAUAUGCACUGUUACCAUCGAAAUUCAAUUUACAGUUGAAACGCUUAUAUCUUUUGGUCUUAAUCUCAAGUGGAACACAAAGAGAGCACAGAACAAAGCCCAAGAAGUCAUCAUUUUCAUACCAACUCCAAGGAAGUUUCAUUGUUAUUUUCAACCCGCUUUUCUGAUGGCUUAUCCACUCCGGAAUACUUUCAGCAAUAAAAGCUGUGACAAGUCCAAAUUCACGCCCCUGCACAAAAAUUACCCUCUGAAUUUUGUCUCCAUGAAAAGAAAGGUUAAAUGAUAUAUGAAAACCAUACCUGAAUUUGGGAUUUAAAACAUUUGAAUAAAGAAGACCAGAGUAGAUUUGAUUGACUGGAUAAAUUUUCCAGGGAUGUGCAGUGAUGGACAUCUAGAUACCUUAAACCUGAUGGAAGUUCUGGAAUAUGUUGAAGCAUCUUGCAGUGACUCAAGACAAGAAGUUUUAGGUUGUAAAGUUGACUGAUCCCAUCAGGUAUGCGACUAAAGUGGUUCCCCCCCAGAUAUAAUGAUACCAGUGAUGAUAGGUAAUAAAUUUCACUGGGAAAUUCCCUUAGAUUGCAGCCUUGAAUCUCUAAUGUCCUCAAGGAGCAUAAACCGGACAAAGACGGCAAUGGAAAAUUCAUUGAAUCUAAAUGCCCAACACUAAGAUGAAGUAAAGAUUGUAGUCUCCCCAAGUUGUCUGGCAAUUUCUUGAAGUUUGGACAGCUUUCGACAAUGAGAACUUUAAAAGAUGUCAAAUUACAAAUACUCUCGGGAAGAUUCACGAGGUUUUUGCAGUUUGACAGAACCAAACAUUGAAGCCCUCUUAGACGUUGAAUUGAUGAUGGUAUCUCUUUCAUGGCGGUUCCAUCUAAAUAAAGCUUUCUCAAGCUCUCCAUCUCUUGCAGGAUUUCUGGAAAGCUCUCUAGUUGUGAACAGCCAGAGCAGCGGAGAGUUGCAAGGGAUUUGAAACCAAAAAUUCUACUGGGCAGACUCGUAAGAUUUUUGCAAUUCCGCAGACAUAAUCUAUCAAGUUCUAAGGGAUUCUCGAUAAUGGGCACUUCAUUCAUGUCACUGCCCUCAAAACACCGCUUCCGUCGAAGCGCCCCAUCCCAUUGGCAUGCAAUGCAUAUUCUAACAUCUGCACCCUCUGUCUGUGUUGUUAAUGGAUGGCUUUGUUGAAGGUCUUGGGAGUAUAUAAGGCGGACUCCACACUCCUUCACUUUCACGGAAUUCUCAGAAUUAUUGUAAGAGUACUUAAAUGAAGUCCAAAUGUGAGUCCAUUGACAAGAGUGAAACCUUUCCGGAAUAGCCGCCUUGGAAUAGCAAACCACCCAUACACUCUCAUUAUCUUCGUCCUUGUCUUCUUUAUAGCAAAAACAAUUGGAUCGAAAGCAGGGAAGAUCUACAAUUCUUUCAGAUCCAAAUCUCUCAUCACUGAUACGCAGAGCACACUUCAGACGACAAGAAUGUGUAUGUUUAUGUUCAUUCUUACGAGAAGAUUCAGCCACAGAUUUAUCAUCUGUUUCAUUCUUCCAUGUAUGAGUAGAUUCAUCCUCAGAUUUAUUGUCUGAUUCAUUCUCGGGCCCAUGUGCAGAUUCCUUUUUGGGUAUGUCCUCAGAUUCAUCAGCAAGUGGAACAAAAACACAGCCUAUAGCGAAUCCCACAAACUCAUUAUUUUGGUGCCAAUUCUGAGGGAGCUCUGUUCUUGUAAGAGAUCUAUUUCCCCAAUUCAUUAUCCAUUCUGGAAUUCCAUCACUUCCGGGAAGAACAAUACAAGUUCCCUUGCCAUGGUAGGAAGAAUCACUAAAACUAGUGCGUUUCAAAUCCUGCACCAAAGCACCAUGUAAAUAUAGAGUUUGCAUAUAACUAGUGUUUGACAUGAAAAUGAUACCUGUGCCCAACUGAAGCAAUUGACCAGAGAAUGCAAUGGCAAAAACGGGGCUCUUGAUGAAGUGCGAUUUGAACCGUGUGCAUCUAAAAGCCGUAGACGUGAUGGAAGCUCUGGAAUUUGUUCAAGAUUGUUGCAGUGACUAAGGUUAAGGACUUCCAGCCUGGAAAGCUGAUUGAUGGUAGUAGGUAUGCUACUAAAAUGACCCCGUUCCAGAUUUAGUUUCUGUAAUGAUGAUAAAUGGCAAAUAUCACUAGAAAUUCCUCCUUCCAUUAUGUUGAAGUGACCUAGGUCCAAUACUUUCAAUGAUGAUAAGUGGCAAAUAUGAUUAGGGAUUUGGUGGAGCUUUAAACACUCUUGAAGUAGGAGAGUUUGAAGACCAUUUAGAUGUGUAAUUGAUGAUGGUAAGUCCAUUAUAGCUGUUCCACUCAAAUCAAGCACCCUUAGCUCUCUCAUAUCGCCUUUGAUUUCUGGAAAUCUCUCUAGCUUUGAACAGCCAUUGCAAGACAAAGUUUGAAGGUGUUUCCACUUGUAAAUGCCUCUUGGAAGAAGCUCCAGGUUUACACAUCCUGCAAGAUUCAAGGGAAAAAGAAAUAAAAAAAAAAAAGAACAAGUUAGUUUUAGUAAUUAUAAUACUGCUGCACCAAUCUUUUAAGUGCAUUGUACACCCUUCUAGAGUUAGAAUCUCCAAGUUUGGGACACUUGAGAAGUCUGGGAUUCUGAUGAGAUGGACAGAGUAACUGAGAUCAAUAACCCUCAACUUGUCAUGAAGCUGUAACAAAAUAAUUUUUUUCAAUAGAUAAAUUUAUAUAAAUGUUAAAAAUUAAUAUAAACUUAAACUGUAACUAAAUAAUAAUAACAAUACCUUAUUCCCUCUCCAAAGUUGCUUUAUAUUGCUGUUCCUUAGUAAGAGUUCAACAAGGUUCUUUGCAUGAAAAUUCAUUGGCAAAGAUUCUAAAGGGUAUCCAUCCCAAUGCAGAUAUGUUAACUCAUAAGAAGAGAAUUCAAAGUCCCUUGGAAGGUGGUCUUCAAGAAAUAACUUUCUGCGAGGGUUAUGGAUUUUGAGCAAUCUAAGUCUAUUCAUCUCUUUGAAAGAUUCUGUAGUAAGCUGUGAUGGAUUAAAUUUACAUCUAUCUAGGAAUAGUCCUUCAAUUGCUCUUGUCCCCUGAAAAAUAUAAGACGAGUAGGCAAAACAAAAGAUGCAUUAGACUUAAUUGAGUUAUACACACGGCUAAUUUCUGAAAAAAAAUAAUAAUAAUCAUAUUGAAGCUUGCAUACACACGUAUAUAAACAAGUUCAUGCAUUUGACUCUUACCGUAUUUCUUAUUAGCACAUGAUAGGCAUUCAAAUCCCACAAUCUACUCCUUCUUCCAGGGUCUUUAGGACAUUCUUGACGAAUAAUCUCUCAACCCAUUUGUUGUAUUAAAUCAUGCAUAUCUAGCCUGUUUUUUGAAACAGAUAUGAGACAUCUAUCAUCUAGAGUUGUUAUUGCGUGCUCUACAUGAGGGCCCAAUAUUCUUGAAACAAAAUCUUUGUUAUCUCCUUUGAAAAAGCAUGCAACAUCCAAAAACACCCCCUUGUCUAUAUCAUCGAGUCCAUCAAAACUUAUUCUAAGUACAUUGUGAAUUUCCAUGUGGGAUAUUAUUUUUAGCUUACACAGUGCACUUUCCCAAUUACUUAUUUUCUUUCCAAAAAGAGAAGCACCUAAAACUUUAAGUGCUAACGGAAGGCCAUUAGCAUAAUCUAUAAUAUUGUAUGAGAGGUUUUUAUAAACUUCUUUGGGACGAUUUUGUUUAAAGGCCCACAAACUAAAGAGCUCAAUAGCUUCUUCCUUGUUUAAUUUUGAAACCUCAUAUGGUAUAUCCACCCCAUAUUGAGCAAGCACGUGUUUGUCUCUAGAUGUAAUGAUGAUUGUACUUUUUACCUGAAACCAAUCCUUCUCUUCAGCCAAACAUUCUAGUUGUUUCAACUCAUCCACAUCAUCAAAAAUAACAAGAACUCUAUUGGAGCUUAGACACCUCUUUAUCAUACUAAUUCCUUCGUCAACAUUGUUUAUUUUAAAUUUUUUUCCCCGUAGCAUACCAUGAAGAAGUUCCUGCUGUAAUUGAAGUAUAUCGCAUUUGGAUCUCUCUCUGAUAUUUAUAAGAAAGCUACUACCAUCAUAUUGAUGUGAGAUCUCAUUAUAAAUAGCCUUGGCGAUAGUAGUCUUGCCAACCCCACCAAUUCCAUAUAUCCCUACGACGCUAACCAUAUUUAACUCAGUGUUCAUCAACGAUUUCAAUUUUUCCAAAUGAACACCAAUUCCAACUAUGUUGUUUCCCACACUUAAAGGUUGAUGGUUUACUCUUCUAAUGAUUGUAUCAACAAUUUUGUUGACAACCACAAUCUCAUACCUGCCAAUCAUAUAAAUGAAGUACAAUGUUGAGUUAGAAUGAGUUGCAAAAUAUAAUGAAUUUAGUCGUGUAUGGUGGUGUCCAAUAUUAUUGAAUUAGUAGCAAUGGAAUGAAAAAGAAAGGGGUCAAACCAAUUUACUUACAUAUUUAAUACUCUUACUGUGCCAAGUUGCAAAUUUUCAAUACUCUUACCGUUAGAGCAUUGUGUAGGACUCCUCUAUGAACAAGCUAAUGCCUUCUUUCAACUUUUAUUUCACAAACAACUUGUUUAUGAUUCCUCAAUUUCACUUGUCUUUAGGUUUUAUUAACUUACCAAUACUUACCAAAGUUACAAAGACUCCAUUUUUAGCAUGCCAAUUAAUUUUGCAUUUCCAUAGAGGAAUCAGGAAACAAGUGAAUGUGGAAAAUUUCAUGAUUUGCUUGUUGAUUGGGAACUUAAAUAUGAUUUUAUUUAGAGAAAAUUUAAAAAGGGUUAAAUUUUGAUACUUGUAUUUUUGGACCAACACAAGGGAAAAAUGAAAGUUAGAUUUUGUUAACAAUUUCAUAUUCAUGAGACCUUCAUUAUGAGAAUAAACUUACAAGUAAAAUCAUUCUAAAAGAGCACGAUAGGAAUGUUAAAGGGCAGAGUUUAAGGUAAAUUAAUCCAAAUGAACUCGAAAGGUCAAAGGGACAAAAUAGUUACCCCCUUUGACAUAAUAAAAAUCCAUCAUGAAGAUUACAAAACAAGCUUGGCAUCGAUAUUGUUGCAGUGAGUGAGCACUUAAUUAGUGCAUGGGAAUUAAGACUUGUUGAAGAAUAUAUACGCAAAAAACAAGCAAAAAUGUAAAUUGAAACUCAGGAAACAGAGGGAGAUGCAUGAGAAUCUUUGUAGUAAGUGAGAAUGGAAUUCAUAGGCAUUAUGCAAUUACCAGUGCCUCAUAGCAAAAUAAGAUAUUGAUUAAAAGGGUUUUAAAAACUAAUAUUUGAUUGCACAUAAAAUUUCAAUGUAUUGAAAAUUGCACAUAAAAUCUCUAAAGAAAUAUUCGAUUUAAAGAAAUAUCAAAUAACUUCAAUGCAUUUAAAAUUACAUAUAUAAUCUCCUUUUGAUAUUUUUCUACUCUUGAAGUACUUUUUAUCCAAAAAGUAUUUUAUCGAUUUGAGAUGGAGAUUGAAUAAUUGUUGACAGGCAUUUUUAUCCCUAAAGAAGUCAUAUUUAAUAUUUUUACAAAAUGAAAAUCGUUCUUCCAAAUUUGCAUUUUCAAUAUCCCAUUUAAACAGAUAAACGAGAGGUGAAGAGAAGCAUACUUACUGGUCAUCCACAUGGCAUCCACAUAGAUUAGCUGCUUUUCUCAAGGCAAUCCUCCACUUUUGUAUCAUCUCCUUUUCUUGAUUUGCAUCUCUUUCAUGGUAGGCAAGUGCGUCUCCGAAGCUUCCCCUUUGGUUUCGUACAUCAGAUGAAUCCACAUGGUAGAAAAUUGGUAGAACCAAUGAUUCCUUUUGGCUUUUGCGUUCAAUGAUCUUUACGAGUUCAUUUAAACACCAUCUGGAGUAAGCAUAAUUUUUUGAGAAAAUAAUAAUAAAAAUCCUCGAUUCUUCUAUAGCUCUGAAGAGAUCAGAUGCAAUAUCUCCUCCUUUCUCAAGUUCUUCAUCAUCUCUGAAAGUUUGAAUUCCAUAUGCAGUCAAAAUGGUAUACAGAUGAUCAGUGAAAUUUUUGCGAGUGUCACCACCUUUAAAACUCAAGAACACAUCAUAAUUACGAGAAAUAGUAGAAGAAGAAGAGGCUCUAUGGGUGCUGGAAGAAGCCAUUUUUGGAUGCCUUGAACCAAAAUUACAAGGGAGUUUGGAAUCAAAGAAAAAUAAGAGAGAGGGUCCCUGGAUUCUCAAUGACUAUUGGCUCCAGACCUCUUCACCAUGAACAAAAAUCUAAGCUGGGAGGGAGGUUCAGCUGAAAAGUUUCAUCUGCAGUCAUAAAAGAAAAAAAUAACAUAUAUAAAGCCUCUUUGACAAAUUUCUUUGUAUAUAAAUUCUAAGAGAAACUCACACAUAUAUUUUACCUUUUGGGAGUUCGCUUUGUGUUGGAGACUGCAGUUAAGGGGUGCAGAGAUGAUGGUGGGGAAGAUGGUUUGGGGGAUAGGCCGGGGUUGAAGAAGAGGCUGUGGAUAUUUUGAAGUGAGGUAAGGAAUUCUAAUAUUUUGAAGUGAAUUUCAUGAAAGGUAUUGUUUUUAGUUUUUGUUUCCAUAAUCUUUCUGGUAGGAAAUCCACGUCAAAGUAGGCUACUAACUAAAAGUUAAUAGAGCUCUAUCACCUUUCACAUUAAAAAAUAGUUGGAUAGGCAAACCUUCCGUCCUCACCUAAUGUAAUAUUUCAUUGUUUUAUUUUAUUUUAUUUAUCUCUCUUGUUCCAAUAUUUGCACAACUUCAUCCCUCUUUAGUUUAAUUCCUUUUCUUUGUAAUAUUUAUUUUGAUUUUUUACAACUUGCAUUUAUCCUUCUUUUCAAUAAUUUUCUCCUCAACUUUUAAAAUUAUUAUUUGGUUUUUCUCUUAAGAGUUAACACUACUGCCAUAUAUUGUUUUUCCUUCUUUUGCCAUUAGAGAAAAUAUUUUUGUUUCUUGUUUUCCUUUCUUUUCCAACCAUUUAAUUCUUAUUAAACACACCUUUGAGUCACUUCAAGGCAACUACAAUUCAAGUAAAUAUUUUUAUUUUUUGUUUUUAUAAUAUGUGUGUGGCCUAGAGAUGAUAGGUAUGAUAACGAGAAAUCUUGAGUUAAAACUAAACAAUGCUUCUUUUUUUUUCUUAAUUGAUUAUUUACUUCAUCUUUCAUUUUCAUGUUUUACUUCAAAUAUAUUUUACACUUUAGUUUGGUGUUUCUCUUGGACUUUGAUUAUGGAGUCAUUUCUUAUAAUUAUUGGUAGGAAAUUUCCUAUGGCCUUCCAAGAAAUUAAAAUUUUGCUACAAAAAUUUAUAUGAAAGUAGGCUAUUUACAAAAGGUCAAUAGACCUUGAUGUCCUUUCACAUUGAAAGAUAGUGAGAUUCACAUCCAAAAAGGCAACCAUUGCAUGCAAUGUUUCAUUUUCUCUUUUUUUCCCCUUGGGCAUUAUAUAUAUACACGGAAAAAGCAAUGUAAACUUUACGUGGAAAAGGAAAAUGUCGCCUCCUAAUUAACUUGAUUACUUAUUAUGGUCAUGUGAUAUUUCAUCUUUUUAUUUAUCUCUCUUGUUCCAAUAUUUGUACAACUUCAUCCUUCUUUAGUUUAGUUCCUUUUCUUUGUAAUAUGUAUUUUGAUAUUUUUACAACUUGAAUUUAUAGAAUGUCUUUUUUCAAAUUUUUUUGUUUUAAUUUUUAUGAAAAAUAUUGGUUUUUACUACAUAUGAUAAAUCCGUUUUGUGGAUAUAUUGAGAUAUGUAAAAAAAUAUUGGUGGAUAUUUUAAAACAAAAUAUGGAUGAGAUAAAAAUUGUUCAAAAUUCAUGGAAAUAUUUAGAACAAUUAUAAGAAAUGGAUAUAAAAAGUAAUAAUAAAUAUUUUUAUGUUGUUUUGUUAAAGAAAUUGAUAUAUGUAUGAUAUAAUUUAUAACAUUCAAUAAUAAUAUUUAGAAUUUUAAAGUAAAUUUUAUAUAAAUGUAUCUAAUUUGUAUGUAUUUAAUGACAUAAAAGAAAUGAUAAAAAUAUUAGUAUUUUUUAUUUUAAAAUAUUGAUAAUUUUAUUUGUAAAUAUAAAAAACCAUAUAUUAAUUUAUGCACAUGUAAUAUAAUUUAUAAUGUGAUCUAUAUAUAAAAGACAAUCUUAAUGUAAUAUACAUAAAUAAAUAAAUAUUGUAUAUGUAUAAGAUAUACGUAACACUAUAAUAUUAACAAAGUUAGCUUGGUAGUUGGUGGCGUGUUGCUCUUACUCUAUGGCUGAGGUCAUGGGUUCUCACACCCAUCCUUCCACAAUGAUUUAAUUCUUUUUUAAAGGUAAGAGGUCGAAUCCCACAUCGGCCAGCCACAGCACUUAAAAACCUGCUCAUAGACCUUUGGCAGAUACCAAACUUCGAAUGCGCAUGACCGGCUAGGCCGACGUGGACGCAAAAUUUUUCAAAAAGCUUGAUUUAUCUCCGAGCCGAGAUAUUGCCGAGACAUCCACCAACUGCAUCAUGUUGGAUGUUACCGACAGACGAAAUAUUUCCCGCUACUUUCAUCUUGAUCAUACCCAAUUAAUUAAUGUGAAUAAACGUUGCUAGGGUGUUUUUUUGUUUGCAAAUAUUUGUUUGUAUGCUUAUGCAUAUAAUACUCUUCCAAUCUUCAAUAUAUAUAUAGAAUAUUCUUCUAUAUAAAUUUUUUGAGAAAAGUGUUUUGUUCCUUGCUUUUCCAACUAUUUAAUGCUUUUUAAAAACACCUUGAGUCACUUCAAGGCAACAACAAUCCAGGUAAUUAUUUUUAUUUUUUGUUUUUAUAAUAUGCGUAUGGCUUAGAGAUGGUAGACAUGAUAAUGAGAAAUCUUGAAUUAAAAUUAAACCAUGCUUUUUUUAGUAAUUGAUUAUUUACUUUGUCUUUCAUUUUGAUGUUUUACUUCUAAUAUAUCUAACAUUUUAGUUUGGUAUUCCCCUUGGACUUUGAUUAUGGAGCUAAUUCUUAUAAUUAUUGGUAGGUAAUUUCUUAUAACCAUUAAGAAAUUUAAAUCUUGUUAUAGAAAUUGAUAUGAAAGUAGGUUAUGUAUAAAAGGUCAAUAGACUUCAAUGUUCUUUCACAUUGAAAGAUAGUGAAAUUUAAAUGGAAAAAAUAACUAAUGUUACAAAAAAUUGUAUGAAGACAAUGUUAUUUACAAAAAGUCAAUAGACCUCAAUGUCAUUUCAUAUUGAAAGAUAGUGAAAUUUACAUAUAAAAAAAAAUGCAACCAAGCCUUGCAUGCAAAGUUUCAUUUUCAUUUUUUUUUCUUUCUAUUUUUAUGUUUUCCCCUUGGGCAUUAUCUAUCUAUCUAUAUAAAUAUAUAUACACCUCAUUUCUACAACUUUUUUUGCUUAACUUUCUUUUUCUUUUGUUAUUUGUAUUUAGUAACAAUGGGUUCAUUUGACAUUCAUUCCAAAGCCUCCUUUUUUGUCCUCAAAUUAUUCAAAUGAUGAUAUCAUAUAAGGAAUUUCUUAAAUAGAUGCUUGUAAAAAUUAUAUCAAUUUCUAGUACUUUUAUUCUAAAAAAAUAUCAUCUCAUUUUCUUUAAUAUUUAUCCUUUAAUCAUUGUUGCAAAAUGAUAAAAUUAAAGUAAGUGCAAUUAUGCUUUACUUGAUAAUAAUAAGAAUUUCAAAAUCUCUUCGCCUCAAGAUAUUGAAGUCUAAGUAAGAAAAUAGAUGGAUAAAAGUGUGACAUAAAACUUUUCUUCUUUUUCCUUUUCCCAUUUGAAAGGUAUUUGUAGUUGAAGUAAAAAAAAUAUCAAGUGACAUAACAAAAAUAUAGGAUUUGCAAAAAGAGUCAAAGGUCUUUGAUGACUAUCUUCUGCAUUUUGUUUUUUGCUUUUUGCUUUCCUCCUUUCAACAUUCAACAACCACUCUUCUCUUUUAGUAGUUGUCUUGAACUUCGAUGGUAAUUGCGCAAAGCCUUCUAAGAAAUUUGCUUGAAGGCAUACUACCAUCCAAAGUUCAAUAAAUCAAAGAAAAUUGCUUGAAAAUAUUUUAUAUCAUUUCUUGAAAUUUAGAUCUUAGUAAGAAAUUGGUUUAAAGGUAAGAUGCCAUCAAAGUUUAGAAAAUAAAAUGUCUUUCAUACUAUUUCUCAUGUUUAGGUAACAUGAAAAAAACAAUAGUUUUUUUUUUUUUUUUCAUUUUGCUUUUGUUUUUCCUCUUUUGGCAUUCAUUGGUGACUAGUUAUAUACACAUAGUAUAAUUUUUAAAAGGAUUUCUUUUAAUUUUUUUUUCCAAAAUAAUAUUUGAGGAACCUUGAUUAUACCCUUUUAUUAUAUUUUCUUGAGAAUAAAAAAAAAGAAUCUUUUACGCAUGUUAUUCAUGCUAUAUAUGAUAAUUUAAUUAAAUUUUAGUUACAACUUUGAGGGGCUUGAAGCCCACAAAAUCCAUUUAAUAAUGUUUUUUUUUUCAAAAUAUUUAUAUAGCUAGAGGUGCCAAAUAUAACAAGAAGAGAUCGAUGGAUAUGAAUACAGAAAUGAUUAAAAAAAGUAUACAAUAGUUUUCCUUUCUAUGUGUUUACUUUCUAAUUUGGUAGCUCUUUGUACUCUCAUAAAAACUUUUAUAAAUCUUUGUGUCAAAAUUGUAUGAAGAUAAUCCAUAUACAUGUGUGUAUUAUAUAUCACUCAAUGAUAGUUGGUUUCAAAUGGAAAAAGCAAAUAUUGCCUUCUAACUUUAUUAUUAUCGUAAUGUGAUAUUUCAUCUUCCAAUUUUAUUUUCAUCCUUGGCAUUUAAUACUAUGCUAUUUAUAAUACUUUCUCUUCUUUUUUAAAACAUUGUUGUUAUUUGAAUUUCCAAAUCCUCCUUAUUUGUUAUCAAAUUAUUCAAAAUAUGAUAUUUGAUUUAUGAAAUAGAUGCUUGUAAAAUUUAUGUCAAAUGAUAAUAUUUUUUAAGAAAAAAAAUAUUAUUUCCUUUUCUUUAAUAUUUAUCCUUUUGUCAUUACUACAAAGUGCAAUUAUCUUCAUCAUCUCUGAAAGUUUGAAUUCCAUAUGCAGUCAAUGUGGUAAAUAGAUGAUCAGUGAAAUUUCUGCGAGUAUCGCCGCCACCUCGAAAACUCAACACGUCAUAAUUACGAGAAUUAGAAGUAGUAGAAGAAGAGGCUCUAUGGAUGAUAGAAGAAGCCAUUUUUGGAUGACUUGAACCAAAAUUACAAGGGAGUUUGGAAUCCAAGAAAAUCAGAGAGAGGGUCCCACAUCGGUCAGCACAGAACUUAAAAACCUGCUCACAGACCCUUUGGCAGGUAGCAGUGUUUAACUGCGUGUGGUUGGCUGGGCCAUAGCUCACGUAAAAGUUUUCGAAAGGGCAAUUUAUCUCUUUGCAGAGAUAUCCACCUACUGCACCCUGGUUGCAAACUUUGCAACCCAUGGUUUAGUUUGAAAUAUCCGUACAUAUGUAUUUGGAUUUGACCGAUAUAUGGGUUAUUAAGGAAUAUAAAUUAUUUAAAAUUCAUAAAAAUAUUUAAAAACUAGAAUAUAUGGUAUUAAUAAUUUAUUAUUUAUGUUAUUAAAUUAAUUUUAAUUUAUAAAAUAUUAUAACUUCUUUAUUUUUUAUUUUAGUAAUUUUUAAAUAAAUUUAUACUUCUAAUAUUUAAAAUUUUAAAAUAUAAAUAUAAAAAAUUUAAAAGUAAAAUGAUAAUAAUUUUUAAAAAUAAAAUUAAUGAAAUAAAUGAUGAUACAUUUAAUAUUAAAAUUAUAAUUUAUUUAAUUUAAAUACAUUCAAUAAUGUAAAAUAAAUAUUGAUGCAUAUAUGAUUUUUUACAUAUUUAUAAUUUUUAUAUUUAAUUAUCACAUAAAUGAUAUAAAAAAAAGACUUAUUUUAAAAAUUAUAAUAAUGGUUUUUAUACUUUUCUUAAUUAAUUAAAAAAAUUAAAUAAAAUAAUUUGAGUUAAUUUAUUUAUUGUGAAUGCAUAUUAAUAAACAUUAAUUUGACCCAGUUGUAGCUGGACUAACAUCCAAGCCUUUUGCUUGGGUUCGAAUCCCUUUGGCAUCUUUUGGUGUGGAAUACUUUCAUCUAUGUAUGAUAUUCUUCUAUAUAAGAUUUUCUUGAAAAGUUUUUAAUUUCUUGUUUUCCUUACUUUUCCAACUAUUUAAUUCGUUUUAAAUACACCUUUGAGUCACUUCAAGGCAGCAAUAAUCCACCUCAUGAUUUUUACUUUUUGGCUUUAUAAUAUGUGUAUGGCCCAGAGACGGCAAGCAUGAUAAUGAGAAAUCUCAGAGUUGUUUUUUUUGGUAAUUGAUUAUUUACUUUGCCUUUCAUUUUCAUGUUUUACUUCUAAUAUAUCUGACAUUUUAGUUUGCUAUUCCCCUUGGACUUUGAUAUGUAGUUAAUUUUUAUAAUUAUUGGUAGGAAAUUUUCUAUGACCAUCAAGAAAUUUAAAUGUUACCCGGAUAUAGAAGUAGGCUAUUUCCAAAAGGUCAAUAGACCUCAAUGUCCUUUCACAUUGAAAGAUAACGAAAUUUACAUUAAAAAAAAGCCAUCAAGUCUUCCAUAUGAAGUUUUAUUUUCAACUUUUUUUUUUCCCUUGAGCAUUAUCUAUCUAUCUAUAUCAUAUAUACACCCAUUUCUACAACUUUUUCUUUUUGCCUAACUUUCAUUUUUUUACUUUUAUUUUAUUUUCAUUUAGUAAUAUGGGUCCAUUUGACAUUCAUUUCAAAACCUCCUUUUUUUUGUUCUCAAAUUAUUCAAAUGAUUUGCAUAUAAUUACUCAAAUUAUAUGACAUUUAUAAGGAAUUUUUUAAAUAGAUGCUUGUAAAAAUUAUAUCAAUUUAUAAUACUUUUAUUCUAAAAAAAAUAUCAACUCCUUUUAUUUAUCCUUUAAUCAUUAUUGCAAAUGAUAAAAUUGAAAUAAGUGCAUUUAUGCUUUAUUUCAUACUAAUAAGAAUUUCAAAAUAUCUUCACCUCAAGAUAUUAAAGUGUAGGUAAGAAAAUAGAUGGAUAAAAAGUGUGACAUAUAACUUUUCUUCUUUUUCCUUUUCCCAUUUGGAAGGUGUUUUGUAGUUGAAGUAAAAAAAUAUCAAGUGGCAUAACAAAAAUGUGGGAUCCGCAAAAAGAGUCAAAUUAAAGAUGACUAUCUUUUGCGUUUUGUUUUUUGCUUUUCUCCUUUCAACAUUCAAUAACCACUCUUCUCUUUUAGUAGUUGUCUUGAACUUUGAUGACAAUUGCGUAAAGGAAAAUUGCAUGAAAAUAUUUCAUAUCAUUUCUAUUAUUUCUCAUGUUUAGGUAACAUGAAAAAAAGUAAUAUAUCUUUUUUUUCAUUUUUCUUUUGGAUUUCUUUAACCUUUUUUUUUCCCAAAAUAAUAUUUGAGGAACCUUGAUUACACCCUUUUAUUAUAUUUUCUUCAGAAAAAAAAAAAAAAUCUUUUAUACAUAUUGAUAUUAUCAUGGUUUUAAAAAUCGGACCGGAUCAGUUGGACCACCGACCAAUCAUGGUUCUAGUUCAAUCCGAUCAAUUGGGUUGAAAAAUGGUUGGACUAGAAUUAGGCCGAUUAAACCGAUAAUCUAAUCGACAAAUCAAAUGAAUCAGAUGAUUCUCUCUAAAUAGUCUGAUUCAACCUUCUUUUUUUUUCCAGUGUCGUUGUCCCCCGCCAAUAAGACACCCGCCCCCCUCCCCCCCCCCCCUCUCUCGCUGUCCCUGUUGGCAAAACCCUCACCCUCCUACAAAGCCACCUACGCUGGAAAAGCUCUUCUCCUUUUUGCCCGUCCAUUUCCUCCCUUCUUCCUAAUAUUUUUUUUAAUUAUUUUUUACGUCAUCUCAUUAUUAUUUAUUUUCUUUUAUAUUUAUUAUUUUUUUACUUCAUGAUGUUUAAAACUUAUGAUUUUAAUUUAAAUUAAUAAAAACAUUACAAUUUUAAAUAAAUUAAGAUUUUAAAAUAAGUUUUUUUAUUUAAAAAUGAAUAUUAAAAUUUUAAAUUUAAAUUAUGAUUUUAAUUUAAAUUUCUAAUAUGAAACUUAUUUUUUGAUUUUCAAAUAAAAUUUUAAUUUUUAAAUAAUAUAUAAAAAUUUUUAUUUUUAUAAUUAUUUUAAAUUUUAAUAAUUUAUUAAUUAUGUAUUUAUGACAUCAUUGGUUCGACCGCAGUCCGAUCAUUGAACGGUGAACUCAUAACUUUUUCGGUUCAGUGACCGAUCCAGUUCUAAAAACAUUGCAUAUUAUACAUGAUAAUUUAAUUAAAUUUUAGUUACAACUUUGAGCCGCUUGAAGCCCACAAAAUCCAUUUAAUAAUGUUUUUUUUUCAAAAUAUUUAUAUAGCUAGAGAUGCAAUAUAACAAUAAGACAUCAAUGUGAUAUUUCAUCUUCCAAAUCUCUUUUAUCCCUUGGCAUUUAAUACUAUGCUAUUUAUAAUACUCUCUUUUUCUUCAUUGUUGUUAUUUGAAUUUCCAAAUCCUCCUUAUUUGUUCUCAAAUUAUUCAAAAGAUGAUAUUGAAUUUAUGAAAUAGAUGCUUGUCAAAUUUCAGUCAAAUGAUAAUAAUUUUGAAGAAAAAAUACUAUCUCCUUUUCUUUAAUAUUUAUCCUUUUGUUGUUACUACAAAGUAAGUGCAAUUAUGCUUCAUUUGAUGAUUAAUGAAGAAAAAUUACCUUUUUUCUUUAUUAAAUAUUUAUCCUUUAAUUAGUUUUGCAAAGUUAAAUUAGAGUUUCAUGAAUGCCUUUUCUACUACAAUUAUGAAAUUCAAAAUUUAUUGACUUGGUACAUUGAAAUCUCUCAAAGAAAUUAAGAUUGCAAUUGAGAAAGCAAUCUUUUAACUAACUCCUUCAUGAAGAACUUAUCAUAAAUAACUAUAGUGGAAAAGAAAAGUAUCAUGAUUGAAAUUCAAAAUAAUAUUUGUAACUUAAAGAUUUCUUUGAGCAUUAAAGUUUAGUGCUAUAUUAUAAUAGCAACUAAAAAGAUAUUUUUUUGCUCAUUUGUCCCAUUUAUUCUUUUGAAAGUGUGAAAAGAAAAUUACUAGUUGUACAAUUAAAGGAAAGAAAAAACUUUAAUCUUGAUAAGUGAGAAGAAAGAACAAAAUUUCUAUAAGAUUUUCAUGAAAUUUAUGUGAAAAAAAGAUAAUGCAUAAAAAUAAAUCAAAUCUGAAAUUCUAUGCAUACUUUAAAUUUAUACAAUUGGAUUGAUUGACAAUGUUGUCCUUGUCCUUCAUCAAAGCACAACCUCCUUUGUACACUUAUUGUACGAAUUCACACACCCACCCAUGUAAAUAUUAUCCGUUCUAAGUCUAGAAAGGGUCUCAUGGUUUUAAAAUGUGUCCAUAAAACUAAAAAAAAAACUCAUACAUAUUGUUAGGAAUUUGAGGCUAAUACAACCUAUGGUAUUCACCCUAAGGAGGGGGGGGGGGGGGGGGGGGUGAAUAAAAUUUAAACAAGUGAAUGCAAGAGAUAAUUAUAUGCAAGUAUAUAAUAAUCAAUAUAUAGACAAUUGCAUAUAUAUUAAAGAGUAGGGAAGAGAGAAUGCAAGCACAAGAGUUUAUAGUGCUUCGGCGCAACCCGGCCUACAUCCUCUCUCCUCUAGCUUCAAUCCUGAGCUUGAGGUUCCACUAAUCCAAGGCUUCCAAACUAAGCCUUUAAGUAAUACAAUUGGAUUAUGGUUCCAAUUCACCCUCUUGGACUUUUGGCUCCAAGCACCCUUUACACUUCUCAAGAGAUAUCCCACUCUUGAACAACCCCUCAAGUGAUACCCCACACUUGAAAAACUUCCUCUCAAAGAUUUACAAAUGAAUGAUCUCUCAAAAAUCCUAGCACAAGAACUUUAAGCUCAAAUGAUACAAGAAAAACUAGGAUUGAAUGGUGCACUAAAGAUAUGCAAGUUUUNNNNNNNNNNNNNNNNNNNNNNNNNNNNNNNNNNNNNNNNNNNNNNNNNNNNNNNNNNNNNNNNNNNNNNNNNNNNNNNNNNNNNNNNNNNNNNNNNNNNCCCUUUUUUUUAUGAUUUCCCCCCCCCCCCCAUUUAAUUUUUUCCCUUUUUUUUUCUAAAAAGGUUUCCUUGUUUUUAAAUUGUUUCCUUAAAACUAAAAAAAAACCCCUUAUUUUUUUUUGGAAUUUUGGGGUUUAUCCANCUUUUGGUUUUCCCCUUAGGGGGGGGGGGGGGGGGGGGGGGGUGAAUAAAAUUUAAACAAGUGAAUGCAAGAGAUAAUUAUAUGCAAGUAUAUAAUAAUCAAUAUAUAGACAAUUGCAUAUAUAUUAAAGAGUAGGGAAGAGAGAAUGCAAGCACAAGAGUUUAUAGUGCUUCGGCGCAACCCGGCCUACAUCCUCUCUCCUCUAGCUUCAAUCCUGAGCUUGAGGUUCCACUAAUCCAAGGCUUCCAAACUAAGCCUUUAAGUAAUACAAUUGGAUUAUGGUUCCAAUUCACCCUCUUGGACUUUUGGCUCCAAGCACCCUUUACACUUCUCAAGAGAUAUCCCACUCUUGAACAACCCCUCAAGUGAUACCCCACACUUGAAAAACUUCCUCUCAAAGAUUUACAAAUGAAUGAUCUCUCAAAAAUCCUAGCACAAGAACUUUAAGCUCAAAUGAUACAAGAAAAACUAGGAUUGAAUGGUGCACUAAAGAUAUGCAAGUUUUGAAAUAAUGGUGCACUAAAAAAAUACUCUUCCGAGGCUCAAAUAUAAUUAAGAAAGAUUUGGGAAUGUUAAGCUCCUUAAACAAUGAAGUUUGGAGCCUUUUUAUAGAAGAGAAAAACCAAACUAGCCGUUUGGGGUUUGACCGGUCGAGCUAGGGGUCGACCGAUUGACUAGCCAUUAGCAUUUAAUGUUUGACAAGUGACCGUUGGGCCUUAACCGGACCUCAACCGGACCUCGACUGGACCUCAACCGGUUGAGGUUCAACCUUGACCGGCAAAAGAAGGCCAUUAAGAGAGAGAGAAACUUUUUGGCCUCCCUCAACCGAUCCUCGAUCGGACGAGCACAACCGGUCGACCGGUUGAACAGGUUGAACCAUUUUUUGGCUCAACACCCAACCUUUUUCGACUUAAAACCUUUUAACACAAGUUUGAAAAUCAUUUAACACAAGGUUUUAGUUGAAAACAUGAAAUCAUCAAAUUCUUAAGAUAUUUAAAAUAAUAUUACUCUUGGAUGAUUUUGGUGCAUAAAUAAAUAAUGAAAUGCAUGAAAGUCCUAAUGUACCAACAACCUUACAAAGAGAUCUUAUGAAGCUUUGAUCUUGAAAAACUCUUCUCUUUGAGGUGGUCUCUUCUUCAUGAUUUCUCCUUGGCUUGAUUUGUCUUUGUGAUUGCCACUUUGGAAAUUGUUUUGCCUAAUCAUACUUGAAAUAUGAUCAUUAGUUCUAAACCUUGUUUUUUUAUCAUCAAAAUCAAGAUUAACCAAACCUUGGUUUCACACAUAUAUAUAUAGGCCUAAUAAUUUUAUCUCAUAUCCGAUGUGUGAUAUCACAAACACUUUCAUCCAAACAUAACAUCCUUGUUGUAUCUCAUAGAAUUGUGGAACCAAACAGACAAACAUCAUCAACGAGACAAAAAAACCUCCACAUCGGGUCAUAGCUUAGUUCUAAUGCCAUUUAUAAUGACUUGCACCCAACCAUGUAAAUGCAUUUUAAAGUCGUGAUGACCCCUUUAAACCCAGAGUGGAUAAUAUCUAUAUGAUUGAAAGUGAGUUGUUACACUUGUAGUUUAAUUGAUUUAAUUCGUUUGACAUUUUUAAUUUUUACAUUUUUUUGUUGCUUUGGUAUUCCUCGUCACCACUUUGCUUUUGCAUUUAAGGAGCAUCAUUUUUCAAUAUUUUUUCUUUUUUAAUUAAUUUUGUUAUUAUUGUUUGGCUUUUCACUCGCAUGUUUAUAAGAAUAAUACGAAGAUACUCUUUUAUGUAUAAUUGAUUUUAUAAACUAUGACUAAACUCAAGUAGUUAUAUAUCAAAUAGUAAGACUCUAUUUCUUAUCAUCUAAAUCAAAAUUUGAAGUUAUCCAAUUAGAGACAUUUCUAUGAAAGAGGAAUAUCAACAACUUUUUUUUUAAAGAAAGGCAUAAAAAUUAGAAAAUUGGAUGGAUGAAAGUUUUUUUUUUUCCUUUAAAAGUACUCGUAGUUAAGGUAAAAAAAAAAUCAAGUGCUAUAGCAAAAACAUAGAAUUUGCAAAAAGAACUUAAAAUAUAUUCAUUAUGUAAAUUGUCUACAUAUCUUCAAAUAAUAAUAUUAUGGGUUUUUUUAUUAUACUUAUUAACAUAAAUUUUAAAUUGCACAAACACCAAAAGGAAUUGAAAGCAAGAAAAUUAAAUGUAGAAAACGUAUUAAAUUAAUUACUCAAUAACCUAUAUUAGAAUAAUUUGAAUAAGCAACCCAUUUCUACAAGAGAAAAUUUGAAGUUUUUAGGAAUAUCAAAAGUAUAUAAUAACAACAUAUUAAAGAUUCAUUCCAAAUUUCUCCCAUGACAUCAUUUCAAUUCAUGGGAAAUUCAUAAUCAAUUUAGAAUAAUUUUAUAUGAAAUUUUAAUAUUUUAAAUUAAAUAAUGUUUUUCUACAUCUUUGUAGCCAGCAAUGACAUGAAGUUAGUGGCACUUCCCCCCUCUCUAAAAUACUUCUUUCUUGUCUCUUUUUGAAAGGCUUGGAUGAUUUACUGUCGUGAUAAUGAAAAUUGAUAGAAACUUAUAAAAAUAUUAAGAAAAAAACUUCAAAAUAUGACAUGAUAAAAAUACUUUGAAAAAUAUAAUACAUAUAAUAUUUUUUGUGAUAGUAUAUAGAAUUUAAAAACAUAUUAUUAUUAAAAUUAUAAUAUAUUUAAUUUGAUUAUAUAAAAAAAUAUAAAAUAAGUGAUACUAUAUGUAUAAAUAUUUUUAUUUAAAAAUAUUGAUAAUUUUAUUUUAUUUUUAUUUAAUUAUUAUACAAAAGAUACUAAUAUAAUUAAAAUUGAUUUUUAAUUUACAAUAUAUUUAUCUAUAUAUUUGUAUUAUAUAUAGACGUGUAAUAUAACCAAAGUAGUAGCUUUGGUCUAAUUAACGGUCGCACCAUUCACCCGUAAGCAUUGGGUCAUGGGUUCGAUUCAACAACCAAUCUUGUUGCUUCUAGUGGUUUUCUUAAGCUUUGAUGACAAUAUGCCAAAGCCUUAUUAGAAAUUUGCUUGAAGAAAAGCUACCAUCCGAAGUUUAAUGAUCCAAAGGUCAAUGAGCCAGGAAAAUUUACGUGAAUUUCACAUCAUUUCUUAAAAUUUAAUCUUGCUAAGAAAUUGGUUUGAAGGCAUGCUACUACCAAAGUUUAAUAAACCAAGAAAAAUGGAAGACAUUUCACAUUAUUUCUCGAAAUUUGGAUCCUGGUAGAAAAUUUCUAUCAAGAUAGGCCAAAAACAAAAUUGAAUAAACCAAGGAAAUUAGCAUGAUGACAUUUCACACUAUUUAGUUACAUGAUUGUUGGGUAUUACCUAAAAUUCGAAAGACCAAAGAAAAUUUCCUCUCUAUAGUUGGCUUUAUGUAGAAAAAGCAAUCCUUGGCAUUGUAUGUGUGUUAGUUUUUAUGAUAAAUUAGUGUCACAAAAUGGUUGAUGCUUCAAAAGUAAUAACUUAGUUGACAAAUACAAUGCCAUAAUUUUAUAUUUUUGCUCAUUUGAUGUAUGUGGGAACAAAAACUAACAUGGAUCUUAAGGUAUUCCAAAACAAAAUACUUGAAAUUGAAAUAUUCUUUCCCACCUAAUUUGAUUGCUCAUUCUAGGUUGGAGAUUCUAUCUCUUUACACAGAAUUAUGCAUAGUGCAAGAGUGUGAGUUUAAAUUGGCAUCACUUUAAUCAAAAUCUAAGACUGGGUUGAAGUAUUUGACUUGCCUUGAUUAAUAAGGACAUCCAUGGCUUAACUGAUGGAGGUUGGUAUGUACUAACUUAUCCAACAAAAUGUUUAAUCUGCAAAAAAAUUAACAACAAUCAAGCUUGUUCUAGAAAUGCCGAAAAACGAGUCCCAAUAAAAAUGGGUUUUGAAAAACAAAAAUUCAGUAAAAGGAAUUUCAGCCCCUUGGAAUCAGCAAGGCAUAUAUAAUAGAAACUAAGAAAAGGAGGGUGGCUUAAUUACCAAAAAGUUGAGAUAAAUGUUUGGUCAACAUCAACAAUUCUCUUACUUGAAAUUAGUGUCUUGUACAGCAUAUCCAAUGAACAAAUUUGCAAAGAAGCUCCAGCCAUCUAUGCAUAUGGUCCAUUUCAUGGUCUUGGGCAUCAACACCAUUACCAUCAAUAUUCAGGGUGGUGCCAUCACAGCUUCUCUCCACAUCAGUAUUAGUAUCUUCUACUGCUGAACUGGUGUCACAGCUUCUACGUUGUACAAUUGUGAGAUUGUUCUGUUCAUAAUCGUGGGCAUAUAGAAAGUGGAAGCCACACCUCGCCACUUUCACUGGUUUAACACCAAAGUAGACAUUAAAUGAAGCGUUCAAGGUUCUCCAUUCAUUUGAGUGAUAUCCCUCGGGAAUAUUUGACUUAGGAUAAUAUAUCAAGCACCCUUGACUUGAUGCAUCUUCAUCAUAGCAGAAUUCACAAAAUUGAUGAGAGUGACAGGAAAAAUAUGCACUGUCAUCAUCGAAAUUCAAUUUACAGUUGAAAUCCCUAUGUGGUGUGGUCUCAAUCUCAAGUGGAACAUAAAGAGAGCACAGAACAAAGCCCAAGAAGUCAUCAUUUUCAUACCAACUCCAGGGAAGUUUCAUUGUUAUUUUGAACCCGCUUUUCUGAUGGCAUAUCCACUCCGGAAUCCCAUUUCUUUCAGCAAUAAAAGUUCUGACAGGUCUUCUAAAGUCACGCGCCUGCACAAAAAUUACCCUCUGAAUUUUGUGUCCCCGUGAAAAGAAAGGUUAACUGAUAUAUGAAAACCAUACCUGAAUUUUGGAUUUAAAACAUUUGAAUAAAGAAGACCAGAGUAGAUUUGAUGGACUGGAUAAAUUUUCCAGGGAUGUGCAGUGAUGGACAUCUAGAUUAAUUAAACCUGAUGGAAGCUCUGGAAUUUGUUCAAGAUUGUUGCAGUGACUAAGGUUAAGGGCUUUCAGCCUGGAAAGCUGAUUGAUGGUAGGAGGUAUGCUACUAAAAUGGCCCCCUUCCAGAUUUAGUUUCUUUAAUGAUGAUAAAUAGCAAAUAUGACUAGGGAUUUGGUGGAGCUUUGAACACUCUUGAAGUAGGAGAGUUUGAAGACCAUUUAGAUGUGUAAUUGAUGACGGUAAGUCCAUUAUAGCUGUUCCACUCAAAUCAAGCACCCUUAGCUUUCUCAUAUUGGCCAUGAUUUCUGGAAAUCUCUCUAGCUUUGAACAGCCAUUGCAAGACAAAGUUUGAAGGUGUUUCAACUUGUAAAUGCCUCUUGGAAGAAGC
rnacentral:lncRNA from 1 species